rnacentral:lncRNA from 1 species
UCUUAGUCCAAAAGGAAUGUCCCUUGAUACCAUAAACAAAAAAUACCAUGUCUGCUUUUUAUUCAAUAAUAAUAAUACAAAGAUGACUGAUCCAAACAAUUUUAAGCUCAAACACAAUGUUAUAAGGUAAGAUAAGAACUAAUGUCACAAUAUUACAGGUAAAUCGUUUUUUUUCUUCCUGUUUUUCAAUUUUUAUCACUAUAAUAUUUUCUAUUCCAAAUCUUUAAGAUCCUCAUCCAUUGGUAUGGUAUAGAAGAAGUGUUCAAUUUGCUCGACUGCAUUAUCCUCGCCCUGUGUCUUGUUUCCUCUCUUUAUUGGAGCUAGGCUCUCCUUGUAAUUGAAAACCCAACAGCCAGCAAUGUUAAGGUCCAGCUGAAAUCCAAGAUCUGUAACUUGUCUUGUUGUAGGGUCAUAUAGCACCAGCUGUGAAGUUUCUGUGAUCUCAAAAACCAUGUUAUCGUUAUCCCAGAUGUUGCGAGGCCAAUGAGCAUCUAUAUGAGGUUGUACAGUUAGAACUUUGGACCAAAUUCCCUCUUGUUCAUACCCACACAUCAUAUAUGGAUGUCAUAGGUUUGCCAGGGUCACCGGUUAAUAAAGCAAGUGAGUUGCCACGCAAUGUAAGCGUCCCCCAAUGUUCACUUGGAAUAUCUGGGACUUGCAUCUCCCUAAACUGUUCGCUGCCCAUGUCAAAAGAGCGAAUCGUGUAGAUCUCAUCAAGGCCCCUAGAAAGCCAAUAAUAAACCCCGUUGAGAUAAGUGGCAUCAAGGGGUGCAGAUAAGGUAGAACUGGAAGGGAAUUCAGGAGUUAGGUGUUUCCAUGAGUUGUUGCAUGAGGAAUAAACACAGGCAUAGACACGAGGACAAACACCUUGUCCCGGUUCAUCCCAGAAUACUCGAAUCCAUACAACCUUAUAAUCUUGAGUCAACAGGUCAAAUCCCAAUCCGAACUGAUGAUCAUGGUCCGAGAAAAAGUACUCAAUCUCAAAAGGCGCAGGCGGCAGAGACCUGAACUCUCUGGUGGCAGGAUUCCACAAACCCAAGCAGACAUUGUCUCCAUAAAACUUCUUCUGCACUAAGAAUAAGCCAUCAACUGGACCAGCAACACACGUGAAAUCAGCGACCCUCGGAAGCUGAAGGAGAGUUUUUUGUUCAGGGGUCACACCUGGAACAAUUUCUUCAGGGAGCAAGGAGAAUACAACAGACCUUACGAUGGCGUCUACUUCACGUGCUACUUUCAAGUUGCAAACAAGGAGACGGGCACGAUUGUUCUUGUGAUGAAAAUGUUUUUCUAUGAAACUCGGACUUUUGAUGAGAGCAUACCAGUGCUUGCACACACAUUUGAAAAGCAAGAGUGAUUCCACUGGCAAUCUCAAUAGAAUAUCAACUACUAGAUCUUCUGGUAAAGGACAGCGACCAUCCAUACUGGUGGAAAUAUAAGUAGAAUGAGGCAACUUACAAACAUAUUGAAAGAGAGCAGAUCUAGAAAACAUGCAUUAAUAGAACACACAGUGCAACAAAAAAGAUCAAGUAGUAGCAUUACCAUGUGAAGCAAAAAAGGGGAAGUUACAAAUUUGACCACUCAGCCACAAAUAUUUACAUCCGCAAGCCAUUACACAUAUAUUAUGGGUAUACAUAUUUUUAAAAAUAUUUUGACAAAUCUUCUUGUAGAUCAAUUUUGGAGAAAAGAUCCAAAAUAGUUCCUUAUGUUUGGCUUCAGACUCAAGGUCAUCCCUUCCCUUUCUUUUAUAUGGUGCACUAAUAGUCCUUUAAGUUUCAAGUAUUAGUGCACUUUUAAUCUCUUCAUUAACAUCCAUUUACUCAUUAACGUUUUGAUCCUUUACACAUCCAUUUAUGGCCUCCGCUGUAUACGUUCUGGUAUAACACAAAUUAAUUCUUAGAUUUAUCUUAGCAGUUGCAGAUGAGUCUUCAUUUGUACUUGUUUUAUUUUUUGGCUCUGCAUCUUUCAUUGUUUGGUGUGCACCAUUCAAGAUUUGCUAAUUCUUUAACUUUCUCCUCUAUUUUCCAUACGCAAUUAAUAAGCUGACUAUAAGUCUUUGGGUUUUCCUGAAUAAAAGCUGACUAUAUAUCUGAAACAUAACCAAAGAAUAAAAUAAAAACAAGAAAAAAGGAAAAAUAUAAUACAUACUUAGUCUUCGUGUAUCAAUAUCUCAAAUUAGCAUCGGAUAAAAGUGCACUAAUACUUAAAACUUUGGAGGACUAUUAGUGCACCAAUUGAUGAUUUCGAAUCUAAAGCCAAAAAUAAAGGACUAUCUUGUAUUUUUUCUUUCGAUUUGGGCUGAUAUGGUUUGGACGGAUCAAUAAUCAGCCAAAUAGAGUCAAUAAGAGGAGACUAGUAAAGAAGUAGUCAUGCGGUUUUCUAGUCUUUUCAUUAACUAGUCAAUAAUUAUUUUUAAAGCUACAUAUCAAGUUAGCAUAUAGAGCAAUUUUGCAGGUAAUUUAAGGAUUAAGGAGCAUGAAACAGUAAUUACCCUUUUCUACUAAUAUCAAUCUACAAAUCCUUGGAAAUGGAACAAUUUUAACUUGCCCAAUAUUGAAAUGUAAAAGAUGGAAAGAAAUAAAAAGAAUUAGCAUAAACAGAAACAAUGACAGCAAAACCCUAUAUCCAUCCCCAAAUAGCACAAAUUCAGAUUCAGAUUCAGAUUCAAAUUCAAAAAAAUAAUCAGAAAUCUAACCUUAUAAGCUGAUGAAGAAGAAGUGCCGCAAUUACGACAAGGUAAAAAUGGAAAAAGAGAUUGGAUUGAUUGAGUGGUGUUGUAGAAAUACCUCCAACAGUUGACUACUUCCUCACUUUCCUACACUUCUUUUGUCAUUUUAGUUUAUAUAACUCCCCUUAAUUCCUUUUAUCCAAGUUUUUAAUACCAAGGGAUAUGAUGGAGUAAUAAGUACUUAUUCAUUGUUAAUUAGAGGUCUUGGAUUUGAAUCUUUUGGCUAUGAAGUCAUCCGUGUUAGGGAGCACUUUACCCAUAAUGUGAGAUUUUUCGACUGGGCUCUAAUAUGGAUACCGAACAUUGAGCGAUUUUUCUUUUUUUACCUUAGUGGUCAUUUGGUAGGUGGAUAAAGCUACAUCUAAUACAUGAAUCACUACAAGAAAAGUGCUGAUUACCUGGGAAUUAUUGUAGAGAAUAUAUGAUAACCCUAAUGGGUGGAGGGAGGACCAAUUUAUAGAGGUUAUGAUUUAAUCUGGUAUAUCCAUCAAGUAACCAAUGUACGGACGAGAUCUAUUCCUUAUUAAAUAUUAUUUAUGGUAUUACUUGCGUUACUAGUAAACUUGAGCCAUAAGUAAGAAAUAAUUAAUAAUAAUUAAUAAUAAUUCUUACACUUCGGGGUGCCUUCGCCAUAGUUCAAGUCUGGAGUCGGCCAUUUCAGUUCUUGAAAGCUUUUAAUCUAGCUAGUGUUAUUCAUAGUACUUCCGUGUACUUAUCGACCUUAUGUGAGUCCAAACUCGUUUGAGUUAUACAUUUACUUUCUAAUUGUGCACGAGUAUACAUACUUUCUAGGCUUAUAGAGGUCCAGUUAGGUUAUAGAUUAUUGCUUUACUUUACUACUUCGUUCUUUUCAGACUCGUGAGCUAUAUAGUUAGACUUUCCGUUAUUGCUUUGUUCAUUUGACCUCUAAUUACUGUUACUUUCAUAUUCUUCAUAUUGUUUUUACUUUCCAAGUUCAGUUGACCUAUGAUGCCUACUGGACACCUGUUGUUCUGAUAUUCAUGCUACACUCCACAUCUGUUUUCUUGAUGUGGAUUUGAGCGCCAGCCGACAACGGUGAUUGGAGCCUAAGUAAUGCGGAGAUCUUCUGAGAUGAAUGGUGAGCUAAUGGCGUCCUAGUUCGACUUAUCUCCAUAUGUAUAUAAUUUUUUACAUGUCUUUUGUAUUCGAGACAAAUUUAUUAAGUUAGUCAAUAGCAUAGGCUCGAAACUAUGACUAGAACAUUGAGUGCAUGACAUGCACAUCUUACUCCUUACUUUCCUUAUUCGUGCCUGUUUUUUUCAUACUUUCUAACUUUCACUAGUACAUUAUCCCUUGUUAAGGAAAAUUAUGUAAACAAAAUAGUAAAUGGCCUGAUCCACUUAAGAGUGAGGGCUAGUUCAUUGAUUGAUACAGCUAAAUCACAUUAAAUAAUAAAUACGGAGGAGGGCCUAAAAUACCCUUCAAGUAUAGGUAAUGGAACAAAAAUACCCUCUUCCACCUUUAGGCUCCAAAAUACCCUUCCAUCCAUCUAUAUGGACCUAUAUUACCCUUUCACUUAACAGAUUCUUUAAGACUAAUAAUUAAUCUUUUCAUUAAUGAUGUGACAGUCUUUAAUUGGUUGAAAUUGGAAUUAACCAAAAUAAGAAUUUCUCUUAAUUAAACCCAGAUCCAACUAAAUUCCACCCGACUCACUUAAAAUUCUAUUGACCCAUAUCUUAAAUAAUCAAACUUCAAUCAACAACUUGCUCCAGUUAUUUUUAAUCCCAGUCAAAAAAGAGGUACAUUAGACCAUAAACAACAUGAAACUUCCGAAAAUUCCCUGGAAACAUUCCAAGAAGGAAGAAGUGAAAUACAAGAUCAAGUGCCACUAUAAUCAUAUACCAAUAUACACCAUAUUUUGAAACACUAUGAAAAGUCCAGCAAAUCUCCAAUCUCUGGGAAACAUAAACUCAAAGCGGUAAAAUUUCUCAAAAUCCGAAACCCUAGAGUUCAAAAAUUAUUUCACUUCUUUCUUUUUUGCGAUUCAUAUAAAGCACCGCACGCAAAAAGCAAAACCAACAUAAUUUUGGGAAAUUCUCAAAGCAGAAUCAUGGAAUAGAAUAUAAAAAAAAAAUAAAAAAUUUAGCCAUAGCAAGAGAUUAUAUACUUGAUGAAGAAAAGCGAUAGAUAUCGCUUUUCUUCAUCUGCAAAUUUUACGAGAAAAUUAUAUGGAGAGAAAUUCAGUGUACAGAGAAAAAAAAGGAAACUCACCGCUACACACUCGAUUCUUCUUGUUUUUUUUUAAAGAUAUGGGUCAGUAAAAUUUUACGUGGGUUGGGUAGAGUUUAGUUGGAUCCGGGUUUGAUUUGGAGAAAUUAUUGUUUUUGCUUAAUCUAAAUUCCAGCCAAUUAAAGAUUGUCACAUCAUUAAUGAAAAGAUUAAUUAUUACUCAUAAAAAAUCUGUUAAGUGAAAGGGUAAUAUAGGUCCAUAUAGAUGGAUGAAAGGGUAUUUUUGAGCCCAAAGGUGGAUGGAGGGUAUUUUUGUUCCAUUCCCUAUACUUGAAGGGUAUGUUAGGCCCUUCUCCGUAAUAUAUAUUACAUUUUUGAACUGUUAAACUAGAAACAAGAUUUAGGAUUUUUCAAGUGGACCAAAAUACAGAUAUUGAUGCCGAGUACUUAAAGUCUGUUGCUUGCCGAUACUCUAAAAGUAGUAGUGUAUUUUUGGAGAAUCUAACAUGAGUGGAGAGUACACGCGCAACUUAGCUUAAAUUGUGUUGGUCCAAAAGGAAUGCCCCUUGAUACCAUAAACAAAAAAUACCAUGUCAGCUUUUUAUUCAAUAAUAGUACAAAGAUGACUGAUCCAAACAAUUUUAAGCUCAAACACAAUGUUAUAAGAAGACAAGAUACGAACUAAUGUCACAAUAUUACAGGUAAAUCGUUUUUUUUUCUUCCUGUUUUUCAAUUAUUAUCAUUAUAGUAUUUUGUAUUCCAAAUCUUAACGAUACUCAUCCAUUGGUAUGGUAUAGAAGAAGUGUUCAAUUUGCUCGACCUCGCCCUGUGUCUCGUUUCCUCUCUUUAUUGGAGCUAGGCUCUCCUUGUAAUUGAAAACCCAACAGCCAGCAAUGUUAAGGUCCAGGUGAAAUCCAAGAUCUGUAACUUGUCUUGUUUUAGGGUCAUAUCGCACCAGCUGUGAAGUUUCUGUGAUCUCGAAAACCAUCUUAUCAUUAUCCAAGAUGUUGCGAGGCCAAUGAGCAUCUAUAUGAGGUUGUACAGUUAGAACUUUGGACCAAUUUCUGUCUUGUUUCAUUACCCACACAUCGUAUAUGGAUGUCAUUGGUUUACCAGGGUCUCCGGUUAACAUAGCAAGUGAGCCGCCAUGCAAUGUAAGUGUCCCCCAAUGUUCACUUGGAAUAUCUGGGACUUGCAUCUCCCCAAACUGUUCGCUGCCCAUGUCAAAAGAGCGAAUCGUGUAGAUCUCAUCAAGGCCCCUACAAAGCCAAUAAUAAACCCCGUUGAGAUAAGUGGCGUCAAGGGGUGCAGAUAAGGUAGAACUGGGAGGGAAUUCAGGAGUAAGGUAUUUCCAUGAAUUGUUGCAUGAGGAAUAGACACAGGCAUAGACACGAUUAUUAGCACCUUGUCCCAGUUCAUCCCAGAACACUCGAAUCCAUACAACCUUAUAAUCUAGAGUCAACAGGUCAAAUCCCAAUCCGAACUGAUGAUCAUGGUCCGAGAAAAAGUACUCAAUCACAAAAGGCGCAGGAGGCAGAGACCUGAACUCUCUGGUGGCAGGAUUCCACAAACCCAAGCAGACAUUGUAUCCAUAAAACUUCUUCUGCACUAAGAAUAAGCCAUUAACUGGACCAGCAACACACGUGAAAUCAGUGAUCCGAAGCUGAAGGAGAGUUUUUUGUUCAGGGGUCACACCUGGAACAAUUUCUUCAGGGAGCAAGGAGAAUACAACAGACCUUACGAUGGGGUGUACACGUGCUACUUUCAAGAUGCAAACAAGGAGGCGGGCACAAUUAUUCUUGUGAUGAAAAUGUUUUUCUAUGAAACUCGGACUUUUGAUGAGAGCAUACCAGUGCUUGCACACACAUUUGAAACGCAAGAGUGAUUCCACUGGCAAUCUCAAUAGAAUAUCAACUACUAGAUCUUCUGGUAAAGGACGGCGACCAUCCAUACUGGUGGAAAUAUAAGUAGAAUGAGGCAACUUACAAACAUAUUGAAAUAGAAUAGAUCUAGAAAACAUGCAUUAAUAGAACACACAGUGCAACGAAGAAGAUCAAGCAGCAGCAUUACCAAUGUGAAGCAAAAAAGGGGAAGUUACACAUUUGACCACUCGGCCACAAAUAUUUAUAUCCGCAAGCCAAUACACAUAUUAUGGGUAAACAUAUUUUUAAAAAUAUUUUGACAAAAUUUCUUGUAGAUCAAUUUGGGAGAAAAGAUCCAAAAUAGUUCUUUAUGUUUGGCUUCAGACUCAAAGUCAUCCCUUCCCUUUCUUUUAUAUGGUGCACUAAUAGUCCUUUAAGUUUCAAGUGUUAGUGCACUUCUAGUCUCUUGAUUAACAUCCAUUUACUCAUUAACGUUUUGAUCCUUUACACAUCCAUUUAUGGCCUCCGCUGUAUACAUUCUGGUACAAAACAAAUUAAUUCUUAGAUUUAUCUUAGCAAUUGCAGAUGAGUCUUCAUUUGUACUUCGUUUUAUAUUUUGGCUCUGCAUCUUUCAUUGUUUGGUGUGCAGUAUUCAAGAUUUGCUAAUUCUUUAACUUUCUCCUUUAUUUUCGAUACACAAUUAAUAAGCUGACUAAGUCUUUGGGUUUUUCCUGAAUAAAAGUUUCUUGCGCUUUGCCUAUAUAUCUGGAGCAUAACCAAAGAAUAAAUAAAAACAAGAAAAAAGGAAAAAUAUAAUACAUACUUAGUCUUCGUGUAUCAAUAUCUCAAAUUAGCAUCGGAUAAAGGGUGUGUUCCGUAGAAAAUAGUUUCUAAUCAAAAUUUUUGGAAAAGAUUUUCUUAGGAAAACAAGUUCCAUACGUGACACUUCAAAAUUCAAAUGAAGAAAAUGACUUUCUAAAGGAAGUAGGGAAAACAAGUUUCAUAUGUGACAUUUCAAUUGAGUAUGUCCUCCCACUCUCUAAGACACCACAUAUUCACCUCACUCCCGUAGCUUCCAUACCCACUACCCUACACAUCUACCCCACCUCCGUCCCUCAUAGUAUUGUCUAGAUAAUACAUAAAUGCUUUUAGAAUAAUAUUAAAUUUUUUUUGCUUAUAUACCAAACACAAAAUAUACAUAAGAAUCUCACUUAUUUUCCUAGAAAAUAUUUUUCAAAAAAUAUUUUCCUUGGUACCGUACACACCCAAAGUUCCAAUGUCCUCGGAUAAUAUCAGCCAAAUAGAGUCAAUAAGAGGAGACUAGUAAAGAAGUAGUCAUGUGGUUUUCUAGUCUUUUCAUUAACUAGUCAAUAAUUAUUUUUGAGCUACAAAUCAAAUUAGCAUAUAGAGCAAUUUUGCAGGUAAUUUAAGGAGCAUGAAACAGUAAAUACCCUUUUCUGCUAAUAUCAAUCUACAAAUCCUUGGAAAUGGAACAAUUUUAACUUACCCAAUAUUGAAAUGUAAAAGAUGGAAAGAAGUAAAAAGAAUUAGCAUAAACAGAAACAAUGGCAGCAAAACCCUAUAUCCAUCCCCAAACAGCACAAAUUCAGAUUCAGAUUCAAAUUCAAAAUAAUAAUCAGAAAUCUAACCUUAUAAGCUGAUGAAGAAGAAGUGGCGGACAAGGAAAAAAUGGAAAAAGAGAUAUCGGAUCGAUUGAUUGGUGUUGUAGAAAUACCUCAACAGUUGACUACUUCCUCACACUUCUUUCGUCAUUUUAUUUUACUACUUCUUGGGAACGCGUUUGUUCCUCUCCUUUUUUUUUCUCGCGUGUGUUCCUUAUUAUUAUUAAAUUUUUAUAUACUAAAAAGUUGAGUUAUAAAAUAGAAAAUGCUGAAAUUAACAAUAGUAGUUUUAUCAUUUAUAUUUUAUUUACUAAAUAAUAAAAAAUAUAUACUGGAGCAUUUUUUGUUAACCUUCAUUUGUUGUUUCUCACUCUCUUUUCUUCUCAUGUUGAAAUUUGAUUGUGCAAUUACCUUCCUAUGAUAACAUCAAUCUUUGUGAAAUUGGUUCUUAAAAAGCAAAUUCAAAUUUUAAUUUUGGAAGUGUUUUUACAUAAUAGUGGAGAAUGAUUCUUCAUAUUCAACUUUUAAUUUUGAAUUGUAAUGAACAAUUACUAUUCAAAUACAAAUCUAGUUUAUUUUUAACCUUACAUUUAUUGAAUCUUUAAUGUGUACGUUAAUGAUAUAUAAUAAUUUAUUAAUUAGGUAUUUGAUUUAGUGUAGGGGCAAAAUGGUAAUUCAACUAUACACUUUCGAGUUUUCACUUUUAAUAAGUAAUUAUAAUAUAUACAAAAGAUUAAACCAUUUGAUAUUAAAAAAAUAUAUGUAUGAGUAAUAAUUAACAUUCAAUGGCAAAAGAAUGUAUCACAUUCUCAUAAACAAUAUCUCUAAGGCAAAAGUAGACAUUCUAAUUUGGACAAUUACUACUUAACUACUUAUGGGUUCAGCCAAUAAUCUGGAGAUAGGAGUUUGACAAUUUUUCAGCCAUAGUUAAAAUUCUACAUCAAUAAUAAAUAGCUUCUUAUCACAGUAAAUAGACAUUUGAAUAAUUAAUAUAAAUUGAGCAACACAAACUUUUCAAAAUGACUUAUUCUAGAUAUAUAAUAGGGAAAAGGGUCAAAAUUACCCCUCAGUUUUGUUUUAUUGGUUAACUUUAUCCUUACCAUUAAAAACAAGUUAUUUUUACCCCUGUCGUCAAUAAACUUAACAAAUAUACCCCUCCUUGAACGGAAACCCCCAAAUCAAUUGAAAUUACCCGAUUUUAAUUGAAAUUAUCCAAUUUCUUUUUUAACCCGAACUAGAACCCAACCCACUAAACUAAACAAAUUAACCCAUUUCCAAUCUUCUUCAUCUCAGUGUUCUUGGCUAAGUACCCUAAGAACACUCACAAUCUUUAUCAUAGCUAACACAUAAAUCCUACAUUGUCUGACAAAAUCAAUUGAAAAGGUUCGUUGGUUGAAUGUAUAACAAGUAAAUUAUUUUUGCUGAACAACAUCCCGCCUCUCUCUGUUGUGGGGUUCAGCGAAGAACAAGCCACAGAGCAAGUAAAUGGAAAAGUUUCAAUUUACACAUCAUCAUUCAAUCCAAUGAAGAAAACCAUUUCUAGGUACCAACCAAAUUACUUUUUGAUUUGUUGUCAGUAGGCUGCCCCUAAAUGUGUACCCAAUAGUACAUCUAAUUCUUCUUUACCUGGCUCGUAAAUCAAUUCAGUGGCCCUCCAUGAUUCUUGUAUGUGCACGUAAAAUUAAGCUACAAUGGAGGGGAGGUUUUUCUUUUCUCUAUCUUUUUAUUUGUUCAAAAUGUUUCCAAUAUAUCAUCAUAUUUGAUGAGUACUGGAUAUUUGAUGAUUACUGAUUUCUUGUAUGUAGCAAAUCAUGUGAUUGAACGACUGCAGUGUUUAGCCUAGGCAACCUUCAACAAACAAUUUGGAGAUAAAUAUCAGGUCUUUUCGAUUGAUUUUGUUAGACAAUGUAGAAUUUGUGUUAGCUAUGAUAAAGAUUGUGAGUGUUCUUAGGGUACUUAGCCAUGAACACUGAGAUGAAGAAGAUUGGAAAUGGGUUUAUUUGUUUAGUUUAGUGGGUUGGGUUCUGGUUCAGGUUAAAAAAGAAAUUGGAUAAUUUCAAUUAAAAUUGAAUAAUUUCAAUUGAUUUGGGGAUUUCCGUCCAAGGAGGGAUAUAUUUGUUAAGUUUAUUGACGGCAGGGGUAAAAAUAACUUGCUUUUAACGGUAAGAGUAAAAUCAACCAAUAAAAUAAAGUUGAUGGGUAAUUUUGACCCUUUUCUCUAUAUAACAUAUAUGGACAAUUUGAGGAAUGAAUGUUUCAACACAUGAAUAAUAGACUAAUAAGGUCAAUAGAUUAUACAUAUAAAUGAAAAGUUAAAUAAAAAUACAGCCUCAAAAUCACAUACUAUGAUCCAUCAUUUAUCUCCAAUUCGGUGGCCCAGUUUAUUUUAGGGUAUGGAUUCUUUUAUUUUUAAAAAAAAAACAUAUUUGAUUUUUCUCAUUUAGUUAUUCCUCUCCCUACUCAUAAAUAAUAAUCUCGAAAAAAUAUUUUUACUAAAGUAGAACACUCUAUCAAGAGCCAAAUAAACAUAUCAAAUUAACUAAUUAAUCUUUCAUCAAUUAUUGAUAGAACAUGAAUUGUAUAUCACUACUUUCUUCAUGUAGGAUACAAGAUAUUUCAAUAGAAAAACAAAAUCAUAAGAAAGCAUAUCAAAAUAUAAAAAAAGGACAUAUAAAAUACUUUGGCUGGACAAGGAGGAGCGGAUAAAAACAAAAGGAAAUUACUGCACAUACAAAAUGAUGAGCAAGAUUAGUUUUUUGCAGGAUAGUCUCUCAUCCUCCUCUUAUCAUUUACAUGAAAACCAUGCUAGGCAUUUUAUAGCAAUAGCUAGGAUGACCUUUGAGUAGAUAAUUAAUUUGCAUUAAUUUAGUUUAAUGAUUUUAGUCCAUAUCAAAUUUAUUUAAUGGAAAACUCUUCAAAUACUCUUGAUUUUACAGAAAAAGAGAAAUUGACUAUUAAUGUGAAUUUGAUUCAUGUACCAAUUUAAAUGAGUUUAAUCUAAGGAAGUGAAAAAAUCAUUAACAUUUUUAUUAAAACGAUACAAUUUAAUAUUUAAAUUAAAUAGUUAAAUAUUUUAUAACAUUUUAAUUUAUAAUAGGGGUAAAACGGUAAUUCAACUUUUAACUUUUUUUAUUCCCGCUUAUAGUAAUAUAUGAUACAACUCCUCUUAAUUCCUUUUAUCUAAGUUUUUAAUUAUGUGGUGGAGUAAUAAGUACUUAUUCAUUCUUAAUUAGAGGUUCCAGUUUGAGUCUUUUUGGCUAUAAAAUCAUCUCUGUUAGAGCGCUUUACCCAUAAUCUAAGAUUUUUCGACACAAAUUCAAAUUUAGUGAGGCUCUAAUAUGGAUAUCGAACACUGAGGGGAAAAUAAAAAUAAAAAUUACCUUAGGGGUUAUUUGGUAGGUGGAUAAAGCUACAUCUAAUACAUGAAUAACAAAGUUAUUUAUGUAUUUAAUUUAUAUAAUGUUUGUAUAAAAGUUAUUCAUAUAUUAACAAAGAUGUUUCUCUCUACGAUAUGUUCCCACAGGAGAAAGAGUUUGUUACUUGAAGAGGGGGGGGGGGGAUGUUGNNNNNNNNNNNNNNNNNNNNNNNNNNNNNNNNNNNNNNNNNNNNNNNNNNNNNNNNNNNNNNNNNNNNNNNNNNNNNNNNNNNNNNNNNNGAAGGGGGGGGGGGGGUAUUUGGAGUCUUUUAGCCACAGUUCGAAGCCCUGACAUAUCGAUCUCUUUUAGCCACGGUUCAAGGUCCCAACGUAUUUUGUUUUGCCACGGUUCAAGGUCCCGACGUAUUUUAUUUUGCCACGGUUCGAGGCCCCAUCAUAUCUCUAUUCGCCUUGGUUCGAAUCCUAACAUGUGGUUCAUUUGGGUUCUUCGGGGUGCCUUCACCAAAGUUCAAGUCUAGAGUCAGCCAUUUUAAGUUCUUGAAAGCUUUUAAUAUAACUAGUGUUAUUCAUAGUACUUCUGUGUACUUAUCAGGCUUAUGUGAGUCCAAACUCGUUUGAGUUAUUUACUUUCCAAUUGCGCACAGGUAUACAUACUUUCUGGGCUUAUAGGGGUCCAGUUAGGUUAUAGAUAAUUGUUUUACUUUACUACUUUGUUCUUUCCAGACUCGUGAGCUAUAUAGUUAGACUUUCCGUUAUUACUUUGUUCAUUUGACCUCUAAUUACCGUUACAUUCAUAUUUUUCAUAUUGUUUUUACUUUCCAUGCCCAGUCGACCUAUGAUGCUACUGGGCACCUGUUGUUUUGAUAUUAUGCUACACUCCACAUCUGUUUUCUUGAUGUAGAUUUGAGCGCCAGCUGAUAAUGGUGAUUCGAGCCUAAGAAAUGCGGAGAUCUUCUGAGAUGAAGGGUGAGCUGAUGGCAUCCUAGUUCGACUUAUCUCCAUAUGUAUAUAGUUUUUUAAUGUCUUUUGUAUUCGAGACAAGUCUAUUAAGUUAGUGAAUAGCAUAGGCUCGAAACUAUGACUAGAACAUUGAGUGCAUGACAUGCACAUCUUACUCCUUAUUUUCCCUAUUCGUACCUGUUUUUUUCAUACUUUCUAACUUCACUGGUACAUUAUUCCUUGUUAAGGAAAAUUAUGUAAACAACUAGUUCUUUGAUUGAUACAACUAAUUCACAUUAAAUAAUAACUAGAAUCUUAUUACAUUUUUGAACUGUUAAACUAGAAACAAGAUUUAGGAUAAGGGAACUAUUUAUUAACUUCACUUCUCCUUAUUAGUGUCAAAAGUUUCUCGUUUAGGAAAUAUGAAGUUUUGAAGGACUAAUAGUAUAUUAUCCUUUUUUAAAAUUGAACUCUAUCCAAUGGUUGAUUCUAUUUAUGAAUCAAUUCCUUAGGUGCAUUAUUUCCAUAGGUUUCAACAUUGGUAACAAAAUCUAGCUUUCUCGCUUAAAUUGACAUAUUUCUAUACUUCCCUCAUCUUAUCUAUCACUGAGGCCGCUCCCAUCUUAUCCCUUAUAUCCUUAUUUAUAAUUUUUAUCGCUCCGAGUAUGAACGUGCAUCCACCUCAAUAUAUAUUCACAUCUCUGCAACAUGCAUCUUCUAGACAUGGGACUUGACUGGCCAACUCUCAUUUCCAUACAACAAUUACAUACACACUCUAUAUAAAUACACACAUACAUAUAUUGAUGGAAAAAUCAUCAACAGAUGAAACUUAAGCAAUACUCCCUCCAUCUCAAUUAAUGUGACAGUCGGAAUUUUGUCUUUUAAAUUGUUAAUUAUUGUGAUUUACCAUUUUUCACAUAAUUUUCAAAUACAUAAAUUUUAUAUCAAAAAAACUUAAAGUUUCUGUAUCCGAAUUUACUAUUAAAUUAUAGAAGUUUGAAUCUCAAAAUUUCAACUAAUGCCACAUAAAUUAAAUCAACUCCAACACUCAGAAAAGCUACAAAAGUUCAAACAUAGAAAGUAAAAAAAAAUUUAAAAAAGAAAUAGAAAAAACCUUGAGAUAAUAUGUCUUGCUAAUUUCCUCUUCAGAUGCUAAUUAAAGGACUUACACCAAGAACAUCAUAAUACUCUGUGUCUUUCACCAUUUUCUUUUCUUUUUCCAAAAUCCCUAUUAACAAAAAAUUUACUCUUUUACCUCCUCCAAUACUCUAAUUACCUUUUUUUUCGCGCUUCUAAAAUCUUAAUACAAGAGCGAAAAACCACUUGAGUGUAAGGAAAGGAAACAAGCCAAACGAAAAAAAAAAAAAAAACUCUCAAAAUUAUAUGAUCAAGAAAACUUGCAAGUACAAAAGGAGAAAGAGGAGGGGGUGGGUGGGGUAUGAUGAAAAGAAUGUCUCAGAAUAAGAGAGUGCCCCAACGAGACAAAGCUGCCUUUCCAGUUCUGAUCAACAAAUUAAUUACGGAAAAUCUGUUGCUUGUCGAUACUCUAAAAGCAGUGUAUUUUUGGAAUUAAGAGGAGUUGUAUAAACUAAAAUGACAAAAGAAGUGUAGGAAAGUGAGGAAGUAGUCAACUGUUGAGGUAUUUCAACAACACCACUCAAUCAAUCCAAUAUCUCUUUUUCCAUUUUUACCUUGUCGUAAUUGCGGCACUUCUUCUUCAUCAGCUUAUAAGGUUAGAUUUCUGAUUAUUUUUUUGAAUCUGAAUCUGAAUCUGAAUUUGUGCUAUUUGGGGAUGGAUAUAGGGUUUUGCUGCCAUUGUUUCUGUUUAUGCUAAUUUUUUUUAUUUCUUUCCAUCUUUUACAUUUCAAUAUUGGGUAAGUUAAAAUUGUUUCUUUUCCAAGGAUUUGUAUAUUGAUAUUAGUAGAAAAGGGUAAUUACUGUUUCAUGCUCCUUAAAUUACCUGCAAAAUUGUUCUAUAUGCUAACUUGAUAUGUAGCUCAAAAAUACCUAUUGACUAGUUAAUGAAAAGUCUAGAAAACCACAUGACUACUUCUUUACUAGUCUCCUCUUAUUGACUCUAUUUGGCUGAUUAUUGAUCCGUCCAACCCAUUUCAACCCAAAUCGAAAGAAAAAAUCCAAGAUAGUCCUUUAUUUUUGGCUUUAGAUUCGAAAUCAUCAAUUGAUGCACUAAUAGUCCUCCAAAGUUUUAAGUAUUAGUGCACUUUUAUCUGAUGCUAAUUUGAGAUAUUGAUACACGAAGACUAAGUAUGUAUUAUAUUUUUCCUUUUUUCUUGUUUUUAUUUUAUUCUUUGGUUAUGCUCCAGAUAUAUAGGCAAAGCACAAGAAACUUUUAUUCCGGAAAAACCCAAAGACUUAUAGUCAGCUUAUUAAUUGCUUAUGGAAAAUAGAAGAGAAAGUUAAAGAAUUAGCAAAUUUUGAAUGGUGCACACCAAACAUUGAAGAUGCAGAGCCAAAAAAUAAAACAAGUACAAAUGAAGACUCAUCUGCAAUUGCUAAGAUAAAUCUAACAAUUAAUAUGUUUUGUACCAGAACGUAGACAGUGGAGGUUAUAAAUGGGUGUGUAAAGGAUCAAAACGUUAAUGAGUAAAUGGAUGUUAAUGAAGAGACUAAAAAUGCACUGACACUUGAAACUUAAAGAACUAUUAGUGCACUAUAUAAAAGAAAGGGAAGGGAUGACUUUGAGUCUGAAGCCAAACAUAAGGAACUAUUUUGAAUCUUUUCCAAACAAUGUUAAGCUCAAACACAAUGUUAUAAAAAGGUAAGAUAAGAACUAAUGUCACAAUAUUACAGGUAAAUCGUUUUUUUUUCCUGUUUUUCAAUUUUUAUCACUAUAAUAUUCUGUAUGUCAAACUCUAAGAUCCUCAUCCAUUGGUAUGGUAUAGAAGUAGUGUUCAAUUUGCUCGACUGCAUUAUCCUCACCCUGAGUCUCGUUUCCUCUCUUUAUUGGAACUAGGCUCUCCUUGUAAUUGAAAACCCAACAGCCAGAAAAGAUAAGGUCCAGCUGAAAUCCAAGAUCUGUAACUUGUCUUGUUUCAGGGUUAUAUAGCACUAGCUGUGAAGUUUCUGUGAUCUCGAAAACCAUCUUAUCGUUAUCCCAGAUGUUGUAAGGCCAAUGAGCAUCUAUAUGAGGUUGAAGAGUAAGAACUUUGGACCAAUUUCCCCCUUGUUUCAUUACCCACACAUCGUAUAUGGAUGUCAUUGGUUUGCCAGGGUCACCGGUUAAUAUAGCAAGUGAGCCGCCAUGCAAUGUAAGCUUCCCCCAAUGUUCACUUGGAAUAUCUGGGACUUGCAUCUCCCCAAACUGUUCGCUGCCCAUGUCAAAAGAGUGAAUCGUGUAGAUGUCAUCAAGGCCCAUAGAAAGCCCAUAAUAAACCCCGUUGAGAUAAGUGGCGUCAAGGGGUGCAGAUAAGGUAGAACUGGGAGGGAAUUCAGGAGUAAGGUGUUUCCAUGAAUUGUUGCAUGAGGAAUAGACAUAGGCAUAGACACGAUUAUUAGCACCUUGUCCCGGUUCAUCCCAGAACACUCGAAUCCAUACAACCUUAAAAUCUUGAGUCAACAGGUCAAAUCCCAAUCCGAACUGAUGAUCAUGGUUCGGGAAAAAGGCCUCAAUCUCAAUAGGCGCAGGAGGCAGAGACCUGAACUCUCUAGUGGCAGGAUUCCACAAACCCAAGCAGAUAUCGUCUCCAAACUUCUUCUGCACUAAGAAUAAGCGAUCAACUGGACCAGCAAGACACGUGAAAUCAGUGAUCCUCGGAAGCUGAAGGAGAGUUUUUUGUUCAGGGGUCACACCUGGAACAAUUUCUUCAGGGAGCAAGGAGAAUACAACAGACCUUACGAUGGGGAGUACUUCACAUGCUACUUUCAAGUUGCAAACAAGGAGACGGGCACAAUUGUUCUUGUGAUGAAAAUGUUUUUCUAUGAAACUCGAACUUUUGAUGAGAGCAUACUAGUGCUUGCACACACAUUUGAAACACAAGAGUGAUUCCACUGGCAAUCUCAAUAGAAUAUCAACUACUAGAUCUUUUGGUAAAGGACGGCGACCAUCCAUACUAGUGGAAAUAUAAGUAAAAUGAGACAACUUACAAACAUAUUGAAAGAGAACAGAUCUAGAAACAUGCUUUAAUAGAACACGCAGUGCAACGAAGAAGAUCAAGCAGCAUCAUUACCAUGUGAAACAAAAAAGGGGAAGUUGCACAUUUGAUCACUCAGCCACAAAUAUUUACAUCAGCAAGCCAAUACACAUAUAUUAUGGGUAUACAUAUUUUUAAAAAUAUUUUGACAAUUUCUUGUAGAUCAAUUUGGGAGAAAAGAUCCAAAAUAGUUCCUCAUGUUUGGCUUCAGACUCAAAGGAUGGAGUAAUAAGUACUUAUUCAUUGUUAAUUAGAGUUCUCGGGUUUGAGUCUUUUUGGCUAUGAAGUCAUCUGUGUUAGGGAGCGCUUUACCCACAAUGUGAGAUUAUUCAGCACAAAUUCAAAUUUAGUGGGGGAUCUAAUAUGGAUACCAAACACCGAGUGGAAAACCAAAAAUAAAAAUAAAAAUGACCUUAGGGGUCAUUUGAUAGGUGGAUAAAGCUACAUUUAAUACAUGAAUAACAAAGUUAUUUAUGUAUUUAAUUUAUAUAAUAUUUUGUUUGUAAAAUGUUGUAUAAAAGUUAUUCGUGUAUUAACAAAGAUGUUUAUCUCUACGAUAUGUUCCCGCAGGAGAAAGAGUUUGUUAUUUGAAGAGGGGGGGGGGGUAUUUGGAGUCUUUUAGCCACAGUUCGAAGCCCUGGCGUAUCUCUUUUAGCCACGGUUCAAGGCCCCAACAUAUUUUUUUGGCACGGUUCGAGGCCCCAACAUAUCUCUAUUCGCCUUGGUUUGAAUCCUAACAUGUGGUUCAUUUGGGUUCUUCGGGUGCCUUCGCCAUAAUUCAAGUCUGGAGUCGGCCAUUUCAGUUCUUGAAAGCUUUUAAUCUAGCUAAUGUUAUUCAUAGUACUUCCGUGUACUUAUCGGACUUAUGUGAGUCCAAACUUGUUUGAGUUAUAUAUUUACUUUCUAAUUGUGCACGAGUAUACAUACUUUCUGGGCUUAUAGAGGUCCAAUUAGGUUAUAGAUUAUUGCUUUACUUUACUACUUUGUUCUUUUUAGACUCGUGAGCUAUAUAGUUAGACUUUCCGUUAUUGCUUUGUUCAUUUGACCUCUAAUUAUUGUUACUUUCAUAUUCUUCAUAUUGUUUUUACUUUCCAAGCUCAGUCGACCUAUGAUGCCUACUGGGCACCUGUUGUUCUGAUAUUCAUGCUACACUCCACAUCUGCUUUCUUGAUGUAGAUUUGAGCGCCUGCCGACAACAGUGAUUCGAGCCUAAGUAAUGCGGAGAUCUUCUGAGAUGAAGGGUGACCUAAUGGCGUCCUAGUUCGACUUAUCUCCAUAUGUAUAUAAUUUUUUCCUAUCUUUUGUAUUCGAGACAAGUUUAUUAAGUUAGUCAAUAGCAUAGGCUCGAAACUAUGACUAGAACAUUGAGUGCAUGACAUGCACAUCUUACUCCUUAUUUUCCUUAUUCGUACCUAUUUUUGUUCAUACUUUCUAAAUUUCACUAGUACAUUAUCCCUUGUUAAGGAAAAUUAUGUAUCCAGAAUAGUAAAUGGUCUGAUCCACUUAAGAGUGAAGGCUAGUUCAUUGAUUGAUACAUCUAAAUCACAUUAAAUAAUAUAUAUUACAUUUUUGAACUGUUAAACUAGAAACAAGAUUUAGGAUUUUUCAAGUGGACCAAAAUACAGAUAUUGAUGCAGAGUACUUAAAGUCUGUUGCUUGCCGAUACUCUAAAAGUAGUGUAUUUUUGGAGAAUCUAACAUGAGUGGAGAGUACAUGCGCAACUUAGCUUAAAAUGUGUUGGUCCAAAAGGAAUGCCCCUUGAUACCAUAAACAAAAAAUACCAUGUUUGCUUUUUAUUCAAUAAUAGUACAAAGAUGACUGAUCCAAACAAUUUUAAGCUCAAACACAAUGUUAUAAGGUAAGAAAAGAACUAAUGUCACAAUAUUACAGGUAAAUCGUUUUUUUUCUUCUUCCUGUUUUUCAAUUUUUAUCAGUAUAAUAUUAUGUAUUACAAAUCUUUAAGAUCCUCAUCCAUUGGUAUGGUAUAGAAGAAGUGUUCAAUUUGCUCGACUGCAUUAUCCUCACCCUGAGUCUCGUUUCCUCUCUUUAUUGGAGCUAGGCUCUCCUUGUAAUUGAAAACCCAACAGCCAGCCAUGUUAAGGUCCAGCUGAAAUCCAAGAUCUGUAACUUGUCUUGUUUUAGGGUCAUAUAGCACCAGCUGUGAAGUUUCUGUGAUCUCGAAAACCAUCUUAUCGUUAUCCCAGAUGUUGCGAGGCCAAUGAGCAUCUAUAUGAGGUUGUACAGUUAGAACUUUGGACCAAAUUCCCUCUUGUUUCAAUACCCACACAUCAUAUAUGGAUGUCAUAGGUUUGCCUGGGUCACCGGUUAAUAAAGCAAGUGAGUUGCCACGCAGUGUAAGCGUCCCCCAAUGUUCACUUGGAAUAGCUGGGACUUGCGUCUCCCCAAACUGCUCGCUGUCCAUGUCAAAAGUGCGAAUCGUGUAGAUCUCAUCAAGGCCCGUACAAAGCCAAUAAUAAACACCGUUGAGAUAAGUGGCGUCAAGGGGUGCAGAUAAGGUAGAACUGGAAGGGAAUUCAGGAGUAAGGUGUUUCCAUGAAUUGUUGCAUGAGGAAUAGACACAGGCAUAGACACGAUUAUUAGCACCUUGUCCCAGUUCAUCCCAGAACACUCGAAUCCAUACGACCUUAUAAUCUAGAGUCAACAGGUCAAAUCCCAAUCCCAACUGAUGAUCAUGGUGCGAGAAAAAGGCCUCAAUCUCAAAAGGCGCAGGAGGCAGAGACCUGAACUCUCUGGUGGCAGGAUUCUACAAACCCAAGCAGACAUCGUCUUCAUAAAACUUCUUCUGCACUAAGAAUAAGCCAUCAACUGGACCAGCAACACACGUGAAAUCAGUGAUCCUCUGAAGCUGAAGGAGAGUUUUUUGUUCAGGGGUCACACCUGGAACAAUUUCUUCAGGGAGCAAGGAGAAUACAACAGACUUUACGAUGGGGUGUACUUCACGUGCUACUUUCAAGUUGCAAACAAGGAGACGGGCACAAUUGUUCUUGUGAUGAAAAUGUUUUUCUAUGAAACUUGGACUUUUGAUGAGAGCAUACCAGUGCUUGCACACACAUUUGUAACGCAAGAGUGAUUCCACUGACAAUCUCAAUAGAAUAUCAACUACUAGAUCUUCUGGUAAAGGGCGGUGACCAUCCAUACUGGUGGAAAUAUAAGUAAAGUGAGAAAACUUACAAACAUAUUGAAAGAGAACAGAUCUAUAAACAUGCUUUAAUAGAACACACAAUGCAACGAAGAAGAUCAAGCAGCAACAUUACCAUGUGAAACAAAAAAUUGUAAGUUACACAUUUGACCACUCGGCCACAAAUAUUUACAUCAGCAAGCCAAUACACAUAUAUUAUGGGUAUACAUAUUUUUAAAAAUAUUUUGACAAAAUUUCUUGUAGAUCAAUUUGGGAGAAAAGAUCCAAAAUAGUUCUUCAUGUUUGGCUUCAGACUCAAAGUCAUCCCUUCCCUUUCUUUUAUAUGGUGCACUAAAUAGUUUCAUUUUCUGGCAUUCGAAAUCCUUUUUAUUACAGUUCUAUAUUUGAUUCUGUAUCAUAUAUAUAUAUAUAUAUAUUUAUCCCUGUCGUCGCCUUAGAUUCAUUGGCCUGAAUUUGAACAUUUAUGUAGCUCGGAACACUCAAAUAUCCGCCGCACUAUACCUUGAUUGCUUUUGACUACAUCUAUGACCAGUAAGUACAAGAUUGAUUGGGUAUUUGGUUUGAUUUUUGAGUUUGUCAUAUAUAUACAUAUGAAGCACUUUGUUAUUACACGAUAUAUCUUAUGAAUAAUAUAGGCAAUGUUUAUGAAGAAUUAGUUUUUAAAAGUUUUAGUUCAAUAACUUUGAUUAAUAUAUAUACUUGUAUGUGUUUGUAUAUACAUUUAUUUCUGGUAUCUCAGCACAUGUAUCAUACCCCAAAUCCUAAAAUUCAUGUGAUGAAGAAUUUGACUUUUAGAUCCGCAACCGUUUUGGGUCCAAGCAAUUUUCUUGUGUUAGAAUCUAAAAGCUGAUUUUCAUUUCUAAAAUCGUAAGUUAAGAAACGAAAGAAAAAAAAAAUACAGAUUUCCAUCUUAAAAAUUUGAAGUCUUCCCAUUUUCUAGUGAACAAGCGGUGAUUUGCUUUUCUAAUUUUUUCCUCACUUUUAAAAAGUGUCUUUUUCCUUAUAGGAAAUAUUUUCCAAAACAUUUGAUCAACCGAACAUAGCAAAAUUGGAAAACAUGUAUCGAACACACACAGAUAAAUACAGAUUUCCAUUUUAAGUCUUCCCAUUUCUUAGUAAAGAAGUGGUGAUUUACUUUUCUAAUCUUUUUAUUAGGCAAUCAAUGAUUUUCUUUUUGUAUUUUCAACGUGGAAUGUUACUAGUGCAACUUAUUUUCCCUACUUUCAUCAUAGAAGUAAUUUAAUCACUUUUAAGGAGUUUGUUUUCUAUAGAAAAUAGUAUUUUCUAAAACAUUUGACCAACGAAAAAAAAGAGAAAAUUGAAAAACAUGUAUCGAACACAACCUACAUCAAUUUUGAAACAGAAAGAGAGAAAUGAAAAGUGAAAAAUGGUGGAAGGAGACAUAUAUAUGUGCCAUCUAAUUUAAGAGCAAAAGCAUAACGUAGAGAAAGAGAGCAGCAAAACACAAAUACAGAAAAUUGAAAUCUAACCUGAGGAAGAAGAGCCGUAAAUGAGAAAUGAGAGUAGUGAAGAAGAGGCAAAAAGCUUUGUCUAUUUAUACUACCUACUAAUUAAUUUAGGACCAAAAAUUUCCAAAGUAUUUUUUUUCUUAGAUUUUGUGUCUAGUCAAAAGAAUGUCAUUACCACUAAGCCCAUUUUCUCAUCUAAUUAAUUAUUGUCUCUAUUGCAAGAGUUUUAUUUGAGGUGUUUCACACCCUUUAAGAAAAGUAGAUUAAGACAUAAAUUGAACAUACUUUUCCAUUUUUACCCUUAUUAAUUAUUGUCAAAUUUAUUGAAGUCAUCACAUUGAAAAUCCAAAUGAAGGGUAAAAUUGGAAGAAUAUUUUAAAAAUAGUCUUGAAGAUUGAACAAUUAAGUUAAUUUGAAAAAUGGAAAAUGCCUCAAAAAUUCAAUUAAUAUGGAAUGAAGGGAGCAUACUAUAAGUGGGAAGCUCCUAAUCUCAAAGUUGAUACAAAAAUACCUUUUACUAUUUUUUUUAUUAAAUAAAUAAUUAAAGUUAAUUAGACCAAAUUUACAUGAUUAGCUGUUAGAGUUUAUCAUUUCUUAAUGAGGCUUUAAUUGUUAUCCUUUGAGCUUCUUCCAUUUACACUUAUUCAAACAGUAGUUUAAUGCUUCACACUUAAGUUAUGAUUCUUCUACCUUUCAUCCUCCGCAUUAUUCUUUCAUCUUCCGCAUUAAUAAUUUUCUCUUAAAACCUUUUCUUAUUCCUUACAUUGCAAUACUCUCUAAAAGCUUACAAGAAGUUGUCUUAGCCCUAUUAUUCUAUUUGUGUUCUAUCGGUCAGAAAUUUCCCUUUUUCAGGUAUAUCUAUGAUUUAUAUGUAUCUAUAUGUGGUUUAAAUCUCAUUCUUGAGAUGGUAUAUGUUAUUUAAUAUUAAAAUAUAAUUAUCUUUUAAGUUGGAAUUAUUUGUCCCAAUGAAAGAUUUAGUAAUGUACAAUACACUUUUCACUGAAUGUUAUAAACACGGAGAUUAAUUGUUUUAAAUGGAUAUACUUCCGUGCAUAUUGUCAGAGAGUAAUUCCUUUAAUACUUUGUUAAUUUUAUUCUGUUAGAAAUUUAAUUUAUUAUCUACUUGAAUAUUGCAAUUUGGUGUAGAAGCUUUUAGAUUAAAGGACUUUUUAAUCGUUUUUAAACUGAAAGACUACAUCAUGUUUGCAUAAGAAAAAGUUCAAAUGAAAUUCAAAUAAAAAUAUCAAUUUAUCAAUUUUUCGUUCUCCAUAUAUAGGUUUUAUUGACGGGAUGCUAGGUAUCCAAACAACCUCUCUUUUUAAAGAAAUAAAUUUUCUCUAUCUUUUUAUGACAAAUGAAGAAAUUUUCUCUAUCUUUGUUAUGACAAAUGUUAUAGGCUUAGACUUUGAUCUUCAUCUUCAAUUAUUAUUACAUACAAUUUAUAAUUAACUUGCUACAAUGGGCAUAUCACUUACGUUAUUAUAUAUUAAUACUUAGCGAUAAAUUCUUCUUUCUAUAGGUCAUUUUUGAAAAUGCUUAAAGUAAAAAAUGAUAUUAAUAUAAAAAAUUGUGUCGCAUAUAAGUUGAUACAAAAAAACACCAAGAACUAGAUAGAUAACAAUAGAUCUACAAUAAAAGUUUUGAUCAUGAUAAAGAAAUUGAAACAUCGAAGUAGAACAUAUACAAUUAAAAAUAACAUCUAUAAGAAAGUAUUAGGUAAAUAUAAUUAUAUCACAUAUUUACACCUAAUAGUAUUACUAAUGAACUCAUUUUAUACUGUGCAUAUCUAACUAAAUUAUAUGGGUACACUUUUCAAGUUUAGAUGACAUCGAAUAAUCAACUCAAUUUUUUGACUAUUCUUUAAAUUGAGCAUGUAAGUCUUUUCAUAUUAAAUUUUCUAUUUAUCAUUAUACACAUAUUUUAAUAUUAUCUUUAUCUAUAUAUAUACUAAUUUACACCGGAGAUAACACUUAUUAGAGACAUUUUUUGAUUAUCUAGAUUGUUAUAAAUGAUAUUACCAAUUAAAUUAGGAUACAGGUGCAUGACACGUGGCCAGAAACUAGUACAGUAAAACCUCUAUAAAUUAAUACUCGGUAAAUUAAUAAUCUCUCUAAAGUAAUAUUUUUCUCCGGUCCCGACUUGGGCCAAUGAAAAAAAUUCUCAAUUUCGAUAAGAUAAUAAGAUAUAUAUUUCCAGAAGACCCCUAUAUAAAUAUAUGGUCCCAUUGAUAUCAUAAAUUAAUAAUUCUUUAAAAGUACAAAUAUAUCUAAGACAAUUUAGUGAAAUAUGAUUCUAUUGUGUUCUGUUUUUUUCUUAAAAUUUAAAUCUAGUUGAAACUCAUCUCUAACUUUUCUUAUUGCAUCCAAGAGCUCCGAUAUUAUCUUUUCGAACUGCACUAUAAAAUUGUGAAGAGUUCUAGAUGCGAUAAGUGCUUCAUUACGCGCAACUGGUUCCAAAGGUAUAAUAUCAUCUUCAACUUCAUCAACAACAUUGCUUUUUCCGAUGGUAUCUGUAACACCCGUAACUAGAAAGAACUAAAAAGGAAUUUUUAAAAAGAGGAAAUAGUCAUUUUUGGAAAGUAUAAAAAUUUUGAAAUUUUCAAGUGUGUUAAAGUUGAGUUUUUGGUCAACUUCAAAUAACCAUAACUUCUAGCUCAUGAUGAGUUAGGUGUGUUUCCAAAUAUCUUAGAAAUAUCUUGGAAUAAUCUUUCCAACGCCGCCAAGUUUACGCGAUUCCGAGUUCGUAUGAGUGAGUUAUUCCCUUUGGAAGUUGGGCUGUUCAAAUAAUAAUGUCCAAUCCGGAUUUUUAAAGGGUGUUUUGGUCUUUUCCAUACCCUAUUAUUUUAGUUCGUUUUUGGUGAAUUAAUUAAGGGUCAAAACUGAAUUGGUUCAGUUUAGGCAAUUGGAGAUUUAUGCUAGGGUUUUUGGAGAAAGAACGCAAGAGGAGAAAAGAGGAGAAAGAGCAAAGUUCGUCGUUCUUGAAGGUUUAGCUUGUGGAUUUCGACAAGGGUUGAUCCCUAAAGAGGUAUGUGAGUCUUUCAUAGCAUUGAGUUCGUUCACUUACGGGCCAAUCAUGUUUAUUUCAUCGUAAAUUCGUCCUAAAAGAGUUUGAAAGUUGAUGUUCUUGACAUCUGUUCUUGAAUUUGAUAUUAUUCUUGAGUUGAGCUGAAAUUGAGAAGUUUCUGAGAUCAUUACGUCAAAUUAUUGAGUUGGUUGAAGUUAGGAUUUUAGGUACAUUUGCUGGGUAUCUGUAUCUAAAAAGAAUUUGGGAAAAAGAAUCGAAUUUGGGCGAAUUAGGGUUGGAAAAUGAAGAAGAAAAUUCGUCGGGCAAAUCUGGGAUCAUUACGUCAAAUUAUUGAGUUGGUUGAAGUUAGGAUUUUAGGUACAUUUGCUGGGUAUCUGUAUCUAAAAAGAAUUUGGGAAAAAGAAUCGAAUUUGGGCGAAUUAGGGUUGGAAAAUGAAGAAGAAAAUUCGUCGGGCAAAUCUGGGCACUGGUUCCGCGUCGUGGACCUGCUCCCCAGAUUUAAGAAAAGUCAUUUCGCGUUGCGGUCAUUGACCGUUCUGCCUCAAAAAGUAUUUUUGCGACCAAAAUUUAAAUACGCCUCCGCGUCGUGGACUAGUUUCCAGGCAGUGAUUUCUUGAUCAUUUCUCAUGUUUAGCUAUCUAAAAUCAUUCCUAAACAUCAUGAGAUCUUUCCUGUCACAAAUCUCAAUCCUUGAACCCACAAUUCAAUUCAAGGAGCAGUUAAUAGUCAAGAGAAGUUCAUAGAGUCUUCCAAGGGUCUUUUACAAAUAUUUUAACUUUGUNNNNNNNNNNNNNNNNNNNNNNNNNNNNNNNNNNNNNNNNNNNNNNNNNNNNNNNNNNNNNNNNNNNNNNNNNNNNNNNNNNNNNNNNNNNNNNNNNNNNNNNNNNNNNNNNNNNNNNNNNNNNNNNNNNNNNNNNNNNNNNNNNNNNNNNNNNNNNNNNNNNNNNNNNNNNNNNNNNNNNNNNNNNNNNNNNNNNNNNNNNNNNNNNNNNNNNNNNNNNNNNNNNNNNNNNNNNNNNNNNNNNNNNNNNNNNNNNNNNNNNNNNNNNNNNNNNNNNNNNNNNNNNNNNNNNNNNNNNNNNNNNNNNNNNNNNNNNNNNNNNNNNNNNNNNNNNNNNNNNNNNNNNNNNNNNNNNNNNNNNNNNNNNNNNNNNNNNNNNNNNNNNNNNNNNNNNNNNNNNNNNNNNNNNNNNNNNNNNNNNNNNNNNNNNNNNNNNNNNNNNNNNNNNNNNNNNNNNNNNNNNNNNNNNNNNNNNNNNNNNNNNNNNNNNNNNNNNNNNNNNNNNNNNNNNNNNNNNNNNNNNNNNNNNNNNNNNNNNNNNNNNNNNNUUAGAUGAUUCUUUAGUGCUUUUUAGCAUAGACUAGUGGAUCCACUUAGUAGUUUAGGUUCUAUACUCAUGGCAAGGUAUAUGAUGUCCUUGGCAGUGUGAGGCAAAACGUUGUAUCAUCACAAUAUCUCUUAAGUGAUGGUUGUCGGUUAGAGAAACUCCCACACAAGUAUUUUGUAUUCUUAUAUACACAGAUUAUUUGUAAUUUCAUAUAAAAUAGAGUUCAUAUUGUAUCUUUGCAUACAUACAAAGUUAUUAUUGUAUUUCUAGAUACAUAGAGUUUCUUUCCAUGUUUUAAAAGCUUUUCUUUAUAUUGCAUUUAUAUUACUGCUUUAGUUGAGUUGAGACUAGGUUUGUCGUACAUUCCAUGUACUGAUGCCAGUUGGCCUGCAUCGUUUUAUGAUGCAGACGUAGGUAACUAGGAUCAACAUCCAGUGCAUCGUUGAUCCAGUUGAGCACUCAGAGUCUGGUGGUGAGCCUCCUUUGCUUUUCCGGAGGAUCCCCUUUUUAUUGCUUUCAGUAUUUGAUUUCAUUAGGAUGUCGUGGGUCUUGUCCCGACAUCUAUAUCAGUUUUAGAGGCUUCAUAGAUAGACAAUCAGAUGUUAGUUAUUUUAGUAAUUUCAUUGUCAUUAUCUUAUGUUGAGACUUGUGUUUGCCUUAAUGGCCAGUUGAAUGUUCAUUUAUAACAUUCCAGUUUAUUACAUAGAUUUAUCUUUGUUGAGUUAAGUCUUCCGCUGAGUAAGUAAGCCAGGCCAAGGGUUUUCUUGGGGCCAACAAUGGUUCUCGAGUGCUAGCCACGUUUGGGGUGUAGGCUCGGGGUGUGAAAAACUUGGUAUCAGAGCAUAGAGUUCAAGAGUCCUAGGGAGUCUAUGAAGCCGUGUCUGUAGAGUCCUAGUUAUCGGUGUGAAGCGCGCCACAUCUAUAAUAGGAGGAUGCAACAUUUAGGAACUAUCUCACUUCUUUCACAUCCAUUUCGUGCGAUAAAGUUAAUCUCUAUAAAGUUUCUUCCAAUUCGUGGUUGUGCGUGUAUUUCAGAUCAUGCCUCUACGAAGAGCUGUCAAAGGUCGUCCGACUAGAAGGAAGGUUGAACCACAGGAACAAGGGGUACCUAAUGCACUAGAAGUGUAACCCCAAUGAGACGUCACCAAUGCUGAGUUCCUUGAGGCCAUUCAGAUGUUGAGCCAAGUUGUGACCAACCAAGCUGGGCAACAGAGAGAGAAUCUUCAGGAAGUGGCUGAUACUUCUAGAGUUUAUGAGUUCUUAAAGAUGAAUCCUCCAAACUUCACAAGUUCAAGUGUCAGCUUUAGACCUAAGGGGAGAUGACGAGAUGAAAAAUCAAGUCAAGUGUUUGAGAAUAAGAUAGUAAUGAGUCCCAAAAAGUAUGGGAGAUAUCUUUUCAGAAGACUUUUAGUAGUGAAGUGAUGUUAAAAGGAAAAGGCUAAUGAUCCAUGUGCAACAAGUUGAGGAGGACAAGCUGAGGGAUAGAGAAUAGUUUAAGAAUAAGAGGGCGAAGACAUCAGGGAAUGAGUCCGGGUGGCAGAAGAGUAAUGCCAACCGGUCUUCCUUCCAACAGAAACAAAAGUGACCUGCUCCAUCAUCUACUAGUGCACCUGUACCAAGAAACAAAUGUGAGUACAAUAGUCAGAAUUCCCAGAAUUUUAGAGCUAGACCUGCACAUUCUCAAGGCAGUGUUGCAUAAGGAGGUAAUGAGACUCAUGCAUAUGCUAAGUGUGGUCGGAACCACUUAGGGGUGUGACGGGAUGACUCCACUGGUUGCUUCAAGUGUGGUCAAGACAAUCAUUUUAUGAGAGAGUGUCCUGAGAACAGGCAGGGUAAUGGUAAUGGGAGACAAUAGAGCCCAGUCUUCUUCAGUUGCUCCACCAGACAGAGCUGCACCUAGAGGAGCUACUUCAAGUACUGGCGGAGGAGCAAACCACCUAUAUGCUAUCACUAGUCGCCAAGAGCAAGAGGAUUCACCAGAUGUUGUUACUGGUAUGAUCCAAGUCUUUAACUUUGACGUUUACGCUUUGCUAGAUCCAGGAGCGAGUUACCAUUUGUAACUCCAUAUGUUUCUAUGAAUUUCAAUUAUAUUCUGAGCAACUUAGUGUACCCAUCAGUGUUUCUACACCUGCUAGUGAGUUUAUUCUAGUAGAAAAAGUCUAUCGUGAUUGUUCCAUUUUCGUUAAUCACAAGAGUACCAUGACUGAUUUAGUUGAGUUAGACAUGGUAGAUUUUGAUGUCAUUCUAGGUAUGGAUUGGCUUCAUGCCUGUUGUGCCUCAGUUGAUUGUAGAACUCGAGUUAUCAAGUUUCAGUUUCCAAAUGAGCCAGUCUUAGAGUGGAAAAGUAGUUCAACAAUGCCUAAGGGUCGUUUCAUUUCAUACCUUAAGGCAGGAAAGUUAGUUUCCAAGGGGUGUGUCUAUCACUUAGUCCGAGUUAAUGACUCUAGUGUUGAGAUACCUCUUAUUCAGUCAGUUCCAGUAGUAAAAAAGUCUCCAGAAGUCUUUCUAGAUGAUCUACCCGUAGUCCCUCAUGAGAGAGAAAUAGACAUCGGUAUAGACCUUCUUCUAGAUACUCGUCCUACAUCUGUUCUGCCAUACUGAAUGGCACCAGUAGAGUUAAAAGAGUUGGAAGAGCAGUUGAAAGAUCUCCUUGAUAAAGGCUUUAUUCAACCAAGUGUCUCACCUUGGGGAGCUCCGGUCUUAUUUGUGAGAAAGAAAGAUGGUUCCCUUAGGAUGUGUAUAGAUUACCGUCCGUUGAACAAGGUUACCAUCAAGAACAAGUAUCCUCUUCCGAGAAUUGAUGAUUUUUUCGAUCAACUUCAGCGUGCCACCUGUUUCUCUAAGAUAGAUCUCAAAUCUGGCUACCAUCAGUUAAGAGUAAGAGAAUGUGAUAUUCCAAAGACAACUUUCAGAACCCGUUAUGGUCAUUAUGAGUUUCUAGUCAUGUCCUUUUGUUUGACCAAUGUGCCUGCAACAUUCAUGGACCUUAUGAAUAGAGUAUUCAAACCUUAUUUAGAUAUGUUUGUUAUCGUCUUCAUUGAUGACUUACUAAUCUAUUCAAGAAAUGAAGAAGAUCAUGCUAGUCAUCUCAUAAUAGUUCUCCAGACCCUAAAAGAUAAAAAAGUUGUAUGCUAAGUUCUCGAAAUGUGAGUUUUGGCUUGAGUCUGUGGCAUUCUUAAGCCACAUUGUGUCUGGAGAGGGAAUUAAAGUUGAUACUCAGAAAAUUGAGGCAGUACAGAAUUGGCCUAGACCCACAUCUCCAACUGAUAUUAGAAGUUUCUUAGGUUUGGCUGGAUAUUAUUUCAUCCCCUUUGACCAAGUUAACUCAGAAAACAGUUAAGUUUCAAUGGUCUGAAGCUUGUGAGAAAAGCUUUCAGGAGUUGAAAAAGAGGUUGACUACUGCCCCAAUAUUGACCUUACCAGAAGGUACGCAAGGCUUUGUUGUAUAUUGCGAUGCAUCCAGAGUUAGUUUGAGUUGUGUGUUAAUGCAGAAUGGUAAUGUUAUAGCUUAGGCCUCCAGACAGUUGAAAGUUCAUGAGAAGAAUUACCCAACCCAUGAUUUAGAGUUGGCUGCUGUAGUUUUGCUUUGAAAAUAUAGCGUCAUUAUCUUUAUGGUGUUCAUGUGGAUGUGUUCACCAAUCACAAGAGUCUUCAAUAUGUGUUUAGUCGGAAAGAGCUUAAUCUCAGACAAAGGAGGUAGUUAGAAUUACUCAAGGAUUAUGACAUGAGUAUUUUUAUCACCCAAGUAAGGCUAAUGUUGUUGUUGAUGCCUUGAGCAGGUUGUCUAUGGGUAGUACCGCCCAUUUUGAGGAAGAUAAGAACGAGUUAGCAAAAGAGGUGUAUAGACUUGCAUGACUAGGAGUUCGACUAAUGGAUUCCACAGAAGGAGGAGUAGUGGUGAUGAAUGGGGCUGAAUCAUCAUUAGUGUCAGAAGUGAAAGAGAAGCAAGACCAAGAUCCUUUAUUUCUUGAAUUAAAAGGCAAGUGUUCAUAAGCAAAAAAGUGAUGGGUUUUGAGAGAUGGUGUUUUGAGGUAUCAAGGUGGAUUGUGUGAUUGAUUUCAAGGGUAAUUUGGGAUGAUCCCCUACCUCUCAUUAAGUUUGCUUACAACAAUAGUUACCAUUCUAGCAUCCAAAUGGCUCCAUAUGAGGAUCGGAGAAGAUGCAGAUCUCUUAUUGGAUGGUUUGAAGUUGGUGAAGUUGGGUUGAUAGGUCCAGACUUAGUUCAUCAGGCUAUGGAGAAGGUGAAAGUUAUUCAAGAGAAGUUGAAAAUUGUCACGACCCGAGCCUACACCUAGACGUGGCCGGCACUCGAGAACCAUUGCUGGUCCCCAAGCGAACCCUUAUCCUGGCUAACUACAAGCGGAAAACUGAUUCAAGCAUACAAAGCUUAAAACUGAAUAGCAUUCAUGAAACUGAAAUACAAAGCUUUAACUCAAAUGAAAAACUCUGAAUAAAAUAAUAUAUUCAACUCGCCAUAAAAUAGGCAACUUAAGUCUUUAAAACAUUUAAUAAAAUAAAUGAAUAAUACAAACUUCUCAACUAUACUAACUAUCUAUGAAGCCUCUAACUGAUAAAGAUGGAAGUCGGGACAAGACCCACGACCUCUUAACUAAACUAAAAAGUAAAUGAAAUCCUCCGAAAACGAGGAGGCUCACCAUAGCUAACUCGAACUCCCGGAUGUGUCAACGAAUCUCCUGUUGAUGAUCCUGAAUACCUGUGUCUGCAUCAUGAGAAGAUGCAGGCCAAAUGGCUCAGUACGCGGAAUGUACGAGCUUGUAAGAGGAAUUCUAAAGCAUAAACAUAAGCUUGAAACUUGAUAAAAAUGGAAAAUACUUGCCUCUUUUCAAACUUACUCAACUCAAGGAAUACUCAAGGAUACUCAAAACUACUCAAACGUACUCAACUCAGAAGUACUCAAAGAUAAGAUACUCAACUCAAAGAUAUGUUAUUCGACUCUGGGUACUCAACUCUGUAUACUCAACUCAAUAUAAAGCAACAAUAAGAGAUGCAAUAUAUAGAAAGCUUUAUAAAAUAGUAAAAACAACUUAGUUCGUUAAAGAAAAUGCAAUAACAAACUCAACUUUACUUAUACAAUAAAGUAAUGUAGUUUAUGUGGAGUUUCUCCAACCGACAACCACCACUAUGAGCCUAAGUGNNNNNNNNNNNNNNNNNNNNNNNNNNNNNNNNNNNNNNNNNNNNNNNNNNNNNNNNNNNNNNNNNNNNNNNNNNNNNNNNNNNNNNNNNNNNNNNNNNNNNNNNNNNNNNNNNNNNNNNNNNNNNNNNNNNNNNNNNNNNNNNNNNNNNNNNNNNNNNNNNNUUAAUAUGAACUCGCAUCCCCAUAUCGAUGCUCAAUACUACUCCCAAAAAAUAUACUUAGCUCUUAUGUUUUAAAAAACCAAACUUCUUUCUUUGGUUUGAGAUAAUUACUCAAAACUUAGCUUAAAAGCUUUCUUGGAAUCGAUGUUCCCUUUCUUGCUCAAAACUCUUUUGGAAAUCUUAAUUUCCUCUCAUCUUAAAUGUGAAAACAUUACUCUUGGAAAUACUUAGUUCCCAUAUAUUAUUUUAAAGAAAAUGAACUUUACUCUUACUCUUUACUCAACUUCAAAGCUUAAGUCUUAAAACAAAAUUUAAACAUUUGUAAAAGACUUCUUAAAAUAUGGUUCAUGCCGAAUUAUGGACGUGAACGACUCAAUGCAAGGUUUUCAAUAACCAAAGAUAGAACUCAAUACUUGGAACUCAAGAACUUCAUUGUUAAUACUCGUUGCAAAAAUGCUCAACUCAGAGGGUUCAUGCGGAAUUAUGAGCAUGAAUAACCCAACUCAAACUUCAUGGGUAACAUGUAAUAGUCCCAUGAUUAGAACUAUAAUCUCAGAGGGGAUUAGAAACUCAAAACUCAAGACUUAGAACUUGAAGAUACUACUCCUUUCAAAGAUAUUGAACUGAUGGAGUUCAUGCAGAAGUUAUGGGCAUGAACGACUUGACUCAAGGGUCAAAAUAUCAAUAANNNNNNNNNNNNNNNNNNNNNNNNNNNNNNNNNNNNNNNNNNNNNNNNNNNNNNNNNNNNNNNNNNNNNNNNNNNNNNNNNNNNNNNNNNNNNNNNNNNNNNNNNNNNNNNNNNNNNNNNNNNNNACUUUUAACUCUCUCUUGAAUGUGAAUUAUGAAUUCAAGAGUUAUGGCUCAAGCUAUAAAAGAUAUCAUGACGAAAAAAUAGACUCAUGAAUACAUUCUCCUCACUCUCAUGCUCACUACUUGAGUGUUGAAAGAAGUUACUAGAAGUUGUAGAAGACUCCACAAAAGGACUCAAAGGGACUUUCUUAGAAUGUUUGAAAGAAUUCUCAAAACUUAGCUCUCAACUCUACCUUGAAUUUGAAUUAUUAAUUCAAGGUUAUGAUAAUGUUAUGAAUGAUUUCUAGGUGUUUAGAAGUAGUUUAAAGUGUUUAGAAUCAAAGGGGAGUAAAGGUACCAUUUGAAAGAACUCAAACAGACGAAACGAUGAACAACGGGUGGGGGCCGGCGACCCUGGCGCUCUGAGUCACGUGGGGCGCCAGCCCCUAAAGUUCAGAGAGGUGGUUGGGGCUCUCUGGCUGGCGUGACACUCCAGGCCCCAACCCAGAAAAGUUCGACGACUUUCUUUGCUCGUUUUCUCACCCUAAGUCGCCUAAAAUCGAACAGUUUCUUCCCCAAUCACUUGGAUUUAAUUAAUUAACAUUAAUACACUCUCAUAUACUCAAAACAACACUCAAAUUACUAAAUUUCAUUUGAAGAAAUCAUCAAAACCCCAACACAACAAGAUUUAGAAUGAACUUCAAGAACACCUAUCAAGAACUCAAAUCUUUCAACUUCAAGAAUGAAAUUUGGGCUGAAAAUAACAUGUUUGGAGUGUGGGUGAACAAACCCAACAUUAUGGAAGCUUACAUACCUCUUAGGGAUCAAACCCAUGGCAAAAAUCUGCAACAAGACGGAAGAAUCUCGACGAACGCUUGAUCCUCUCCUCUUUUCUCUUCUUUUCUCUUCUUGAACUCUCAACUAAAACCCUAGGCAUAAACUAGGAUUAUAAAACUGAACAUAAUCAAAUUAUACCCCUAAAAUAUUACUAAAAACGAAUUAAAUCUGAUUGGGUAAGGAAAAGACCAAAAUACCCCUUACUAUUUUCGACUAACUUUCCUUAACUGGGUUGCCUAACUUCAAAAGGUCAUAUCUCACUCAUCCAAACUCGAAACUUAGAAAACUCGUUGGCGUUGGAAAGAUAAUUCAAAGAUAUUUCCUACGGUAUCUGGUAGCACACCUAACGCAUCCUGAGCUAGGAUUUAUGGUCGUUUGAAGUCGACCCAAAACUCAUACUUAAGCAUAACUUGCAAAAUUUCAGAUUUUGCUAUUUCCAAGUUUGAACUUUUUUGGAACUCAAGGUGCUACAUCCAGUGACCUUAAAACUUAAGAAAUUUUUAAUUCCUUGGAAAAAUCUCACUUACUACGAUGAACGGUUCGAGUCUUAGUUCAAUUUUUUUUUUGGGUGUUACAAAAACAGCGUAGAGUCCUCAGAAAUCCUACAUUGAUGUUAGGAGAAAGAAGUUAGAGUUCGAAGUAGAUGAUUGGGUCUACUUGAAAGUUUCACCCAUGAAGGGUUUUAUGACAUUUGGUAAGAAGGGGAAGCUUAGCCCCCGGUAUAUUGGUCCUUACAGAAUAUCCAAGAGAUUCGCAAUGUAGCUUAUGAGUUGGAGCUACCUCAAGAGUUAGCAGCGGUUCAUUCGAUUUUUCACGUCUCCAUGUUGAAAAAGUGCAUGGGCGAUCCUUCUUUGAUCAUACCAACCGAAGAUAUUGGGAUCAAGGAUAGCUUAUCUUAUGACGAGAUUCCUAUUCAGAUUCUAGAUCGCCAAGUUCACAAGUUGAGAACAAAAUAGGUAGCAUCAGUCAAAGUCUUUUGGUGGAAUCAAUUUGUUGAGGAAACUACUUGGGAAUCGGAGGAGGAUAUGAAGAAGAGAUAGCCACAUCUCUUCGAAUCAGGAGAAAUUCCAGAACAAGGUACUAAUUCAUUUCUUAGUACUCUUUAACUUAUGAGAUUGCAUGUUGUAGUUGCAUUGGUUGUUGGCUGUUUGAACUGAAUGUUAGAUGUUAUGCCCUUAACUUACUAAGAGUAAGCUCAUUCGAGGAUGAAUGUUCCCAAGGGUGAGAUAUUGUAACACCCGGUAACUAGAAAGAACUAAAAAGCAAAUAGUCAUUUUUGGAAAGCAUAAAAAUCUCGAAAUAUUUAAGUGUGUUAAAGUUGAGUUUUUGGUCAAAUUCAAAUGACCAUAACUUCUAGCUCAGGAUGAGUUAAGUGUGUUUCCAGAUAUCUUAGGAAAUAUAUUGGAAUAAUCUUUCCAACGCUGCCGAGUUUACGCAAUUCUGAGUUCGUAUUAGUGAGUUAUGCCCUUUGGAAGUUGGGCUGUUCAAAUAAGGAAAUGUCCAAUCCAGAUUUUUAAAGGGUGUUUUGGUCUUUUCCAUACCAUAUUAUUUUAAUUCAUUUUUGGUGAAUUAAUUAGGGGUCAAAACUGAAUUGGUUCAGUUUAGGCAAUUGGAGAUUUACGCUAGGGUUUUUGGAGAAUGAACGCAAGAGGAGAAAAGAGGAGAAAGAGAAAAGUUCGUCGUUCUUGAAGGUUUUACUUGUGGAUUUCGACAAGGGUUGAUCCCUAAAGAGGUAUGUGAGUCUUUCAUAGCAUUGAGUUCGUUCACCUACGCGCCAAUCAUGUUUAUUUCAGCGUAAAUUCGUCCUAAAAGAGUUUGAAAGUUGAUGUUCUUGACAUCUAUUCUAGAAUUUGAUAUUGUUCUUGAGUUGGGCUGAAAUUGAGAAGUUUCUAAGAUCAUUACGUCAAAUUAUUGAGUUGGUUGAAGUUAGGUUCUUAGGUUUAGGUACAUUUGCUGGGUAUCUGUAUCUAAAAAGAAUUUGGGAAAAAGAACCGAGUUUGGGCGAAUUGGGGCUGGAAAACGAAGAAGAAAAUUCGUCAGGAAAAUCAGGGCACUGGCUCCGCAUCGCGGACCUGCUCCCCAGAUUUGGGAAAAGUCAUUUCGCGUCGCGGAGCGGUCACAGACCGUUCUGCCUCAAAAAGUAUUUUUGCGACCAAAAUUUAAAUACACCUCGACGUCGUGGACUAGUUUCCAGGCAGUGAUUUCUUGAUCAUUUAUCAUGUUUAGCUAUCUAAAAUCAUUCCUAAGUAUCAUGAGAUCUUUUCUAUCAAAAAUCUCAAUCCUUGAACCUAUAAUUCAAUUCAAGGACCAGUUAAGAGUUAAGUCAAGAGAAGUUAAGAGUCAAGUCAAGAGAAGUUCAUAGAGUUUUCCAAGGGUCUUUUACAAAUGUUUUAACUUUGUUUUAAGACUUGAGUUUGAGUUGAGUAAAGUUUGAAGUUCAUUUCUUCAAAAGAGUAUAUCGGGACUAUGUAUUUCCAAAGAGUAAAAUGUUUUUCACAUUUUAAAGAAGAAAUGAAACUUUGAUUUCCAAAAGAGCCUUUGAGCUAGUUUUCAGUGAAGAGCCUUUGAGUUAGUUUUCAGUUUAAAGAGUAAAUGCUUUCACAAUAAAGCAAGAGAGGAAACUUAGAUUUUCAAGAUAGCCUUUGAGCUCAGUUUUUGAGCAAUUAUCUCAAAUCACAGAAAGAAGUAUGUUUUUUAAAACAUAAGAGCUAGUAUUAUUUUGGGAGUAGUAUUGAGCACCGAUAUGGGGUAGAGUUCAGACAACUCACAACCCCCAUAAACCAUGUAGCCACCAUGGGUAGAAAAGGGUCCUAUUGUUUAGAUGAUUCCUUGAUGCUUUUUAGUAUAGACUAGUAGAUCCACUUAGUAGUUCAGGUUCUAUACUCAUGGCUAAGUUUAGGACGGCCCUGGCAGAGUGAGGCAAAACGCUGUAUCAUCACAAUAUCUCUUAAGUGAUGGUUGUCGGUUAGAGAAACUCUACAAUAGUAUUUUGUAUUCUUUUAUACACAGAUUAUUUGUAUUUUCAUAUACAAACAGAGUUCAUAUUGUAUCUUUGCAUACAUGCAAAAUUAUUAUUGUAUUCCUAGAUACACAAAGUUGCUUUCCAUGUUUUAAAAUCUUUUAUUUAUAUUGCAUUUAUAUUACUGCUUUAUAUUGAAAUCAAUUCAAUUCAGUUGAGUUGAGACCAUGUUUGUUUCUUCAGUUCCUUUUAAGCUUAUGUCUUGUUUUAGAUUUCCCCUCGCAUACUCGUACAUUCAAUGUACUGAUGCCAGUUGGCCUGCAUCUUUUCAUGAUGCAGACGCAUGUAACUAGGAUCAACAUCCAGCGCAUCGUUGAUCCAGUUGAGCACUCAGAGUCUAUGCUAAAAUGCACUUAAGGAAUCAUCUAAAAAGUAUGAUCUUUUACUAUCCAUGAUGGCUACAUGGUUUAUGGAGACGUGAGUUAUCUGAACUCAAACUCGUCCCUAUAUCGGUGCUCAAUAUUACUCCCAAAAUACUCAGCUCAUAUGUUUAAAAACAUAACUUUUUCUGUGGUUUGAGAUAACUACUCAAAAAUCUAUUCUUAAAAGAGAUGAUACUCAAACUGCUCAAAACUCUUUUGAAAAUAUCUGUUUCCUCUCAUCUUAAAUGUGAAAACAUUUACUCUUGGGAAUACUUAGUUGCCAUAUAAUCUUUGAAGAAAUAAACUUUACUCUUACUCUUUACUAAACUCAAAGCUUAAGUCUUAAAACAAAGUUAAAACGUUUGUAAAAGACUUCUUAAAAUAUGGUUCAUGCCGAAUUAUGGACAUGAUGGACAUGGAUGACUCAAUGCAAGGUUUUCACUAACCAUAGAUAAAACUCAAUACUUGGAACUCAAGAACUUCAAUGAUACUGCUCAUUUCAAGAAUGCUUAACUUAGAGGGUUCAUGCAGAAUUAUGAGUAUGAACUACUCAACUCAAGGACUCAAGGACUCAAAGAUACUUCUCAUCUGAAGACAGGAACUCAACACUUAAAGGCUUAGAACUUGAAGAUACCACUUCUCUGAANNNNNNNNNNNNNNNNNNNNNNNNNNNNNNNNNNNNNNNNNNNNNNNNNNNNNNNNNNNNNNNNNNNNNNNNNNNNNNNNNNNNNNNNNNNNNUUAGGAACUCAAUACUCAAGACUUAGAACUUGAAAAUACUACUCCUCUCAAUGAUGCUCAAUUUAUGGAGUUCAUGUGGAAUUAUGGGCAUGAAUGACUCCCAAUAACGAACUAAUGUAUACGACUUUUCUCCAUACUUACUUAUUCAAAACUUAACUCAAAUUGAUGGUGGAUCUAAAAGGAUUCACAAUUGAAAUCAAAGUCUUCCUUGAACUCUACUCUUUAACUCCUCUUGAAUGUGAAUUAUGAAUUCAAGAGUUAUGGUUCAUGAUAUGUAGGAUAUAAAUGAUAGUGUAGACUCAUGAAUACAUUCUCCUCACUCUCAUGCUCACUUACUUGAGUCUUGAAAUAAGUUAUUAGAAAUUGAAGAAGACUCCUCAAAAGGACUCUCUCAAAAUGAUUAAAAAAACUCUCAAGACUUAACUCUCAACUUUACCUUGAAUUUGAAUUAUGAAUUCAAGGUUAUGAUUCAUGUUAUGAAUGAUUUCUAAGUGUUUAGAAGUAGUUUAGAGUGAUUAGAAUUAAAGGGAGUGAAGGUUCACUUAAAAGGGGCUCAAACGGGACAACCGACGGAAAAUGAGUUGGGGCAACCAACCCUGGCGCGUUCCGGGCGCAGGGAGCCAGCCCCUAACUUCAGAGGCUGCAUAUGGGUGCACUGCAGGGGCGCUGCCCCAGCCCCUUGGUCGCAUUUGGGGCGCGCCACCCUAGCCUCUCCCCAGGUCAAGUUCGACGAAUUUUGCCUCUCGUUUUCUGAUCCUAAAUCACUUUUAAUCGAUUUAUUUUCUCAAGUUUCCCUUAAAUUCAAUUACUGAACCUAAGUACACACUAAUCCACUCAAAACAAUCACUUUCAUCUCGAGAAAUCAUCAAAACCCCAACAAGACAAGAUUUAGAAUGAACUUCAAGAACACUUAUCAAGAACUUAAAUCCUUUAACUUUUGAGAGUGAAAUUGCGCUGAAAGUAACAUGUUUGGCGUGUGAGUAAACAAACCCAAUAUUAUGAAAGCUUACAUACCUCUUAGGGAUCAAACCCAUGGCGAGAAUCCGCAACAACACGCAAGAAUCUUGACGAACGCUUGAUCCUCUCCUUUUUUCUCUUCUUUUCUCUUCUUGAACUCUCAACUAAAACCCUAGGUGUAUUUUAGGAUUAUAAAACUGAACCUAAUCAGAUUAGACCCCUAAAACAUUACUAAAAAAUGAAUCAAAUUUGAUUGGGUAAGGAAAAGACCAAAAUACCCCUCUAAAAUUUGAUUUUGAGUUUCCUUAUCUAGACAUCCCAACUUCUAAUGGCCAUAUCUCCCUCAUACGAACUUCAAAUUGAGUAAACUCGGUGGCGUUGGAAAGAUAAUUCAAAAAUAUUUCCUAAGGUAUCUGGUAGCACACCUAAAUCAUCUUGAGCUAGGUGUUAUGGUCGUUUGAAGUCGACCCAAAACUCAUACUUAACUUAACUUGCAAAAUUUCAGAUUUUGCUAUUUCCAAUUUAGUUCUUAUUGGAACUCAAGGUGCUACAUAUAGUUACCUUGACACUUAAAGAAAAUUUUAAUUUCUUGAUUAAAUCUCACUCACUACGAAGAACGGUUUAGGUCUUAGUUCGAAAAUUUUUCUGGGGUGUUACAAAAUUCUUCUUCAAUAAUUGAAUCUAUUAGUUAGUGAACUCGAGUAAAUGGCUAAAAACAUCCCUGAACUAUACCUCAAACUCAAACUACAUCCGUGUAUCAUUACAUUGAACAAAAAACAUCCUUCAACUAUCUAAAAAACUGCAAGUUACAUCCUUAUGUUAACUUUCUAUCAAGAAACUAAUCACUUUAAGUAGAAGCACACAACAUUCCGAUAAAGGCAAACAAUUUUGCCCACUCACUGAUCUUCUCUAUCAAGUAGUAAACUAGUAAUCAUAUUAAAAGGUAUUCUAUGACUAGCAUUAUUGUAGGAAUAUUAAUUAAUUAAGGCCUAAAGAUUUAUAACUUGGGACUUGUUCAACUUUGGUUUGUCCCUUUUUUAAUUUUACUGAGCUUGUUAUUAUGUUGUUAGCUUUUCUAUCAAGACUCUUAUUGAUCCCAUGCUAUUUCGAGUUUGCUUUAUUUUUUCAUUUUCUAAUUAGUACGUUACUCCUCCAACAACAUUCAUCAAAUUUCCAAUACUCUCAACUAAUUAAAUGAAAACUUUAAACAUAAAAAUCAGAUGUAAACCUUGCAGAUUUGUCUUUGGACAUAAAAAUAAUAAUUAUGUGAUACUAAAAUACAAGGAUUUGAACUCUUAAUUAGUGUGUGUUUUGGUGCUGGGAAAAAUAAUUUUUAAAAAUAUAUUUUCAAUUUUUCAUAUUUAAUUGACCAAAGUUUUUGAAAAAUAUUUUAUCUAAGAAGACAAGUUCUUAAAAUAUAAAAAAAAAUGAGUUGUAAUAUCGACGUAGGAAAAAAAGCUCCACAAAUGACAUUUCAAAUUCAUUCACAAAUCCUUUUAGCAAAGACAAUGUUUGUUCUAUGUUUAAGAAGACAGUGAGGGGACAAAAUCUCUUUUCAUUAGGAGAUGGUCGCUAUAUUUUUGAUAGAAAAUUAAGGAGGGAUGUAACUUGUAACUUUCAAAAUAGUUCAGCGAUGGUUUUUGUUCACAAUAAUAAUAUAAGGAUGUAGUUUGAGUUUAAGGUAUACUUAAAGGAUGUUUUUGGCCAUUUACUCUAGUGAACUCCUCCAUUAAUGACUAGUCUAAAGUUAGAUUCUUGUAACUUUCAAUUUUGAUUUUGAUUUUGAACUACCAACAAAUUAUCAAAGUGAUGAAAAGUAUGUGAUUUGGUGGUGGGAAUUGACUUAGUGAUGAAAACCUGAUGAGGGCGGUGACCUGGUGGUUGAGGUGAGCCACCGCUGAUGUUUAGUAUGGAUCUGAUGAUGAAGAUUGAAGGGAAGAGAUAAAGAAGGUAACAAAUAAAUAAAAGGAAACAUAUUUUUAAAAAAGUAGAAUAUUAAUAUAAAUUAAAUAAAAUAUUUAUGAAGUUAAUAUUCUAAUUAUUUUUUGAUCUCUCACUCUCCCAAAGAGAGUGAACUAUACCUUCUUUGCCACAUCAACAUUUAGGGAGCAAAUAACUCCAUUUUAAAAUAGUCCAGGGGUGUAAUAGGACUCUUGUAAAGUAUGAGUGUGUAGUUGGGAAUCCGACUAUUGGUUGGGGGCAGUGGCGGAGCCAGAAAUUUUAAUAAUGGGGUUCAAAAUCUGAGAAGUAAACACACGAACUAGUGGAAGAGGGUUCGACAUCUAUUAUACAUACAUAAAAAAUAAUUUUAACCAUGUAUAAAUAGUAAUAUUUUUCGUCGAGGGGGUUCGGAUGAACCCCUUCAUUACAUGCUGCCUCCGCCCCUGGUUGGGGGGCUUUUGGCCAUUUUCUCUUCUUUUAUAUGGUGCACUAAGUUUCAAGUGUUAGUGCACUUUUAGUCUCUUUAUUAACAUCCAUUUACUCAUUAACGUUUUGAUCGAUCCUUUACACAUCCAUUUAUGGCCUCCGCUGUAUACGUUCUGGUACAAAACAAAUUAAUUCUUAGAUUUAUCUUAGCAAUUGCAGAUGAGUCUUCAUUUAUACUUGUUUUAUUUUUUGGCUCUGCAUCUUCAUUGUUUGGUGUGCACCAUUAAAGAUUUGCUAAUUCUUUAACUUUCUCCUCUAUUUUCCAUACACAAUUAAUAGGCUGACUAAGCCUUUGGGUUUUUCCUGAAUAAAAGUUUCUUGUGCUUUGCCUAUAUGUAUAUCUGGAGCAUAACCAAAGAAUAAAAUAAAAACAAGAAAAAAGGAAAAAUAUAAUGCAUGUAUCAAUAUCUCAAAUUAGAGUCGGAUAAAGGGUGUGUUCUAAUCAAAUUUUUUGGAAAAGAUUUUGUUUAGGAAAACAAGUUUCAUACGUGACACUUCAAAUGAAAAAAAAGACUUUGUUUAGGAAGUAGGGAAAACAAGUUUCAUAUGUGACAUUUCAAUUGAUUAUAUUGUCCGCCCACUCUCUAAGACACCACAUCUUCACCUCAGUACUCCCAUAGCUUCCAUACCCACUACCCUACACAUCUACCCUACCUCCGUCUCUCAUAGUAUUUGUCUAGAUUAUACGUAAAUGCUUUUAGAAUAACCAGCCAAAUAGAGUCAACAGGAGGAGACUAGUAAAGAAGUAGUCAUGUGGUUUUCUAGUCUUUUCAUUAACUAGUCAAUAGUUAUUCUUGAGCUACAUAUCAAGUUAGCAUAUAGAGCAAUUUUGCAGGUAAUUUAAGGAGCAUUAAACAUUAAUUAUCCUUUUCUACUAUUAUCAAUCUACAAAUCCUUGGAAAUGGAACAAUUUUAACUUACCCAAUAUUGAAAUGUGAAAGAUGGACAGAAGUAAAAAGAAUUAGCGUAACAAUGGCAGCAAAACCCUAUAUCCCCAAAUAGGACAAAUUCAGAUUCAGAUUUAAAAAAAUAAUCAGAAAUCUAACCUUAUAAGCUGAUGAAGUAGAAGUGGCAAAAAGAGAUACUGGAUUGAUUGAGUGGUGUUGUAGAAAUACCUCAACAGUUGACUACUUCCUCACAUUUCUUUUGUCAUUAUAUUUUAUACAACUCCUUUUAAUUCCUUUUAUCUAAGUUUUUAAUUAUGCGGUGGAGUAAUAAGUACUUAUUCAUAUUUAGUUAGAGGUUUCGGAUUUGAGUCUUUUUGGCUAUAAAAGGAUCUUUGUUAGGGAGUGCUUUACCCAUAAUUUGAGAUUUUUUGGCACAAAUUCAAAUUUAGUGAGGCUCUAAUUUGGAUAUCGAACACUGAGUGGAAAACCAAAAAAAGAAAAAUUACCAUAGGGCUCAUUUGGUAGGUGGAUAAAGCUACAUCUACAUGGUUUUUCAUGUAUUUAAUUUAUAUAAUGUUUUGUUGGUAGAAUGUUGUAUAAAAGUUAUUCAUGUAUUAACAAAGAUGUUUCUCUCUACGAUAUGUUCCCGCAAGAGAAAGAGUUUGUUAUUUGAGGGGGGGGGGUUAUUUGGAGUCUUUUAACCACAAUUUGAAGCCUCGACAUAUCUCUUUUAUCCAUGGUUCAAGGCCCCGACGUAUUUUUUUUGCCACGGUUCGAGGCCCCAACAUAUCUCUAUUCGCCUUGGUUCAAAUCCUAACAUGUGGUUCAUUUGGGUUCUUCGGGGUGCCUUCACCAAAGUUCAAGUCUGGAAUCAGCCAUUGCAGUUCUUGAAAGCUUUUAAUGUAGCUAGUGUUAUUCAUAGUACUUCUGUGUACUUAUCAGACCUAAGUGAAUCCAAACUCGUUUGAGUUAUUUACUUUCCAAUUGCGCACGAAUAUACGUACUUGCUGGGCUUAUAGGGUCCAGUUAGGUUAUAGAUAAUUGUUUUACUUUACUACUUCGUUCUAUCCACACUUGUGAGCUAUAUAGUUAGAUUUUCUGUUAUUGCUUUGUUCAUUUUACCUCUAAUUACCGUUACUUUCAUAUUGUUUUUACUUUCCAAGUUUAGUCAAACUAUGAUGCCUACUCGACACAUGUUGUUUUGAUAUUCAUGCUACACUCCACAUCUGUUUUCUUGAUGUAGAUUUGAGCACCUGCUGAUAACGGUGAUUCGAGCCUAAGUAAUGCGAAGAUCUUCUGAGAUGAAGGGUGAGUUGUUGGCUUCCUAGUUCGACUUAUCUCCAUAUGUAUAUAGUUUUUUACCUGUCUUUUGUAUUCGAGACAAGUAUAUUAAUUAGUAAGUCAAUAGCAUAGGCUCUAAACUAUGACUAAAACAUUGAGUGCAUGACAUGCACAUCUUACUCCUUAUUUUCCUUAUUCAGGGCCGUCUUAACCUCUAGGCCACUAAAGCCAUCGCUUGGGGUCCCAUAUAUUUUGGGUCCCCCAUUUUAAAAAAACAAUUACUUAUAUAUGUUAUUUUUUUAAAAAUAAAUUAUAUGUACUAUUAGCGUUAUGAUUUAUGCUAAAGAAAUUGCAUAUGAGAUGAAAAUAUACCUUAAUUUCGUAAGAAACGGUUUGAUGAAAAUAUGGAUAGAGAAAUCACAAAGUCCCUUGAAUAAUCUUUUAGUGUUUAUUGAUUUAUAUAUGUAGGGUAGAUCAAACUAUUUUUUCAUUUCAAAAUAGAUUCGAACCAAUUGAAGCAUAUAUAUGGAAAUAUUUUUGAUUUCUUAUUUAGUAGUAAAAUGUUGAGAUCACUAGAUGAUGAAUUUAAAAAAUAUUGUCUUAACCUUGAACUUUCUUUAACAUGUAAUAGUUAUUCUGAUAUUGAUGGUUUAAAUUUAUUUUUUGAAUUAAAAGUGUUAAGGGAAAUAAUACAAAUAGAAGAUAAUGAUCUAACAAAAAUACUCAAUCAAAUAAAAAGACUUGAUUCUUUUUCAAAUACACAUAUUGCUUAUAGAAUAAUGUUAACAGUUCAUGUAACCGUUACCUCAGCCGAAAGAAGUUUUUUCGAAAUUAAAAUUGAUUAAAUCUUCUUUAAGAUGAACAAUGUCUCAAGAGAGAUUGAAUGAAUUAGCUAUAUUACCAUUUGAAAAAUAAUUAUUAAAACAAAUUGAUUAUGAAACAGUACCUAUUGACUUCGCAUCUAAAGUAGCUAGAAAAGAAGAUUUUAAAUAAAAGUAUAUAGGAUGAAAAAAAUAAAAUAUUAGGGCCCCUCUAUUCAGUUUUCCUUUAGGCCCCUAAUGUUGUUGAGUCGGCCUGGUUAUUCGUACCUAUUUUUUUCAUACUUUCUAACUUCACUAGUACAUUAUCAUUUGUUAAGGAAAAUUAUGUAAACUGAAUAGUAGAUGGCCUGAUCCACUUAUGAGUGAGUGCUAGUUCAUUGAUUGAUACAACUAAUUCACAUUAAAUAAUAUAUAUUACAUUUUUGAACUGUUAAACUAGAAAUAAGAUUAAGGAUAAGGGAACUCUGUAUUAACUUCACUUUUCCUUAUUAGUAUCAAAAGUUUCUCGUUUAGGAAAUAGGAAGUUUUGAAGGACUAAUAUUAUCCUUUCUUUUAAAUUGAACUCUAUCUAAUGGCUGAUUCUAUUUAUGAAUCAAUCCCUUAGGUGCAUUAUUUCCAUAGGUUCCAACAUUGGUAACAAAAUCUAGCUUUCUCGCUUGAAUUGGCAUAAUUCUAUACUUCCCUCAUCUUAUCUAUCACGGAGGCCGCUCCCACCUUAUCCCUUAUAUCCUCAUUCUAAUCUUUAUCACUCCGAGUAUGAACACGCAUCCACCUCAAUAUCCAUAUCUCUGCAACAUGCAUCUUCUAGACAUGAGAGUUCUUGACUGGCCAACUCUCAUUUCCAUACAACAAUUUACAUACACACUCUAUAUAAAUACACACAUACAUAUAUUGGUGGAAAAAUCAUCAAUAGAUGAAACUUAAACAAUACUCUCUCUAUCUCAAUUAAUGUGACAAUUGGAUUUUAUCUUUUAAAUUGUUAAUUAUUGUGAUUUACCUUUUCACAUAAUUUUCAAAUAUAUAAAUUUUAUAUAAAAAAAUUUAAAGCUUCUGUAUCCGAAUUUACUGUCAAAUUAUAGAAGUUUGAAUCUCAAAAUUUCAACUAAUGCCACGUAAAUUAAAUCAACCCUAACACUCAAAAAAGCUACAAAUAAUUCAAACAUAGAAAGUAAAAAAGAAGUAGAAAAAACCUUGAUAUAUAUAUAUAUAUAAAUAAAUUAUAUAUUGAUUUGUAAUUGGUUGCUGUCACUUCUGAGCAAAAUCGUGCACACUCAAUGGAUGCUGUUACAAGUAAUAUUGGUGUACAAAUAACUACCAAAAACAAAGGGAAAAUGCCAAGAGUUGGGGUUGAUGCAUCGCGAGUUGGUUCAGGCCAAAAAAUAAUGGAUUCAGGACACAAACUAAUGGAUACAUCUGAUGUUGAAGAUGCUGAAGAUUCUGGACAGCAUGUUUUGCAAGUUGAAACCAAGAAUGCAACUAAAAAUUGGACACUAGUUGCACACAAAAAUUCAACUAGUAAUCGGAGCCUUUCCCGACUAAUCAAAAUAAUUCUCCAUGUAGUGAAAAGGGUGCGACUGAAAAUUUUCAUGACAGUGAGAAGAGGCAAGAUAUUAGUAAUGCCUCAAGAUACCUAUUUUGUUCGAAUAGCUUUGAUGCUUUAUCAAAGACUACUGGAAAGAAAGUAAAGUUAACAGAGAAUGACAACGAUUUGAUCUAAGAAAAGCAAGUCUCACCACCUACUUUGAAUAGCAAAUUAAGUCCAAAAGCUCCCAUAUUUGUGCCUAAAUGCGUGAUUGUAAAGAAGAAUGAGACAAGGGCCUUAGUGUCAGAUACAAUUGAUUUGAGCGAGGAUUCUCUUGAUGAAGAUGAGGAAGACAAUAUGCUUGAUUUGGGCGAGGAUUCUCUUGAUGAAGAUGAGGAAGAUAUGCUGGACAUAUGCUUUGACAGAGUGGCUAGGGAAGGAGAUAUAUCACCUCGGCAACAAAUAAGUAGAAGCAACAAAAGCAAAAAGAAGACACAUGGAAGGCAACAUAGUUGAGACGGUAAAAUGACUGAGGAGUUUGUUCCAAGGCACCUACCAAUGCGACAAGCAAAGCAGAACCAUUUGACAGUAUCAAUUGGUUCAACAAGAUCCAAUAAAUCCAUAAAGAAAGUAUGAAUUAUCAAGUGUUGUUGGAUAAGUUUGAAGAAGAAGACAACAGAAAAAUACUUUAAGUUACUUUUGAUGGGCAAUCAAUCUUUUUUAAUUCAUGCGUUUGUAAUUGAAAGUUUGAGGUUGAUAACUCAACUUUCUUCUUGAUUGACAUAUUUUUACAUUAUUUAAGCAUCCUAGUUUGUAAUAUCAUCAUGGAGUGUAUUACAAACUUUGUGGUGAUCAGAAAAUACUUAGUUCUCUCUAGCUCUUAUUUUCUUCAUGCUUGUUAGGUAGUAGACGUUAGGUACUUCAUUAGGAUUAGUACGGUAAGGCCUACCCCCUUGCUUGCACUUAUCCCUAUUGAUUUUUUUUAUGUUUAAUAAAAGGCCACUAGACACUGUCUAGUGGUAAAUUUGCGGGAAAAAAAAACCUUGAGAUAAUAUGCCUUGCGAAUUUCCUCUUGAGAUGCUAAAAGACUUACAUCAAGAACAUCAUAAUACUCUGUCUCUUUAACCAUUUUCUUUUCUUUUUCCAAAAUCCCAAUUAACAAAAAACUACUCUUUUACCUCUUCCAAUACUCUGAUUACCUUUUUUUGCGCUUGUAAAAUUUUAAAGUAGGAGCGGAAAACCAUUUGACUGUAAGGAAAAGAAACAAGCCGUGUUGAGAAUUGAUUUAAAAUCUUUUGUUUAAGUUUACUGCUUAGGAUAAGUUUUACAGUAGGUUGAAUAAGUCUUUUACUAGAAUUGAAAUAGUCUUUAUUAGUUACUACUUUUCUGGUAGUAUUUAGUCAAGUGGCGUCUAUUAUCUUUCUGAGUUUGUUAGCCUAUAAAAGGCGUAGAGACUUCUAGUUAAUAAUCUCUCUUCUUCCUACAAGCCAAACAAAAAAAAUGAUGAGUGAUCCAAACAAUUUUAAGCUCAAACACAAUGUUAUAAGAAGGUAAGAUAAGAAAUAAUGUCACAAUAUUACAGGUAAAUCGUUUUCUUUUUCCUGUUUUUCAAUUUUUAUCACUAUAAUAUUAUGUAUGCCAAAUCUCUAAGAUGAGGCCUCAUCCAUUGGUAUGGUAUAGAAGUAGCGUUCAAUUUGCUCGACUGCAUUAUCCUCGCCCUGAGUCUCGUUUCCUCUCUUUAUUGGAACUAGGCUCUCCUUGUAAUUGAAAACCCAACAGCCAGCAAUGAAAAGGUCCAGCUGAAAUCCAAGAUCUGUAACUUGCCUUGUUUUAGGGUCAUAUAGCACCAGCUGUGAAGUUUCUGUGAUCUCGAAAACCAUCUUAUCGUUAUCCCAGAUGUUGAGAGGCCAAUGAGCAUCUAUAUGAGGUUGAAUAGUAAGAACUUUGGACCAAUUUCCCUCUUGUUUCAUUACCCACACAUUGUAUAUGGAUGUCAUUGGUUUGCCAGGGUCACCGGUUAACAUAGCAAGUAAGCCGCCAUGCAAUGUAAGUGUCCCCCAAUGUUCACUUGGAAUAUGUGGGACUUGUAUCUCCCCAAACUGUUCGCUGUCCAUGUCAAAAGAGCGAAUCGUGUAGAUAUCAUCAAGGCCCCUACAAAGCCAAUAAUAAACCCUGUUGAGAUAAGUGGCAUCAAGGGGUGCAGACAAGGUAGAACUGGGAGGGAAUUCAGGAGUAAGGUGUUUCCAUGAAUUGUUGCAUGAGGAAUAGACACAGGCAUAGACACGAUUAUUAGCACCUUGUCCCGG